GCACCAUAAGUUUGAAGGCCCCUGCACACUGCUGGAGGGAGGAGGCUGGGUGGGUUGGAGGGAUUGGGGGGCAGGCAGCCAGCCUUUAGGUUUGGGAUUGGGCUUGAGAGGAGGAGAAGGGGGGAGGGGCUAGGAAAUAAUUAGGUUUAGAUAGGGAUGGAGGGGGAAUUAGUAGGUAAUAAUAAUUGAAUUUAGGGGUAUGGGGAGGGGAGGUAAUAAUUGGGUUUAGGGAGGUUAUAGAGAGUUAUAGAGGAGGGAAAAAGGGAGGGAGAGAGAUAAAGAGACGCUUGUAUCUAUAAAGAAGGGUAACCAUCUUUGAGAGGGUGUGAGAGGGAGACAAGAGGAGAGAAAAAACAAAAUUUGAUAGAUAACAACCAGUGCCAGAGUAACGAAAUGAUAGGUAACAACAACUGAUAGAAAGGAGAGGGGUGGGGGGAGAGGGAGAGGAAGACUUGGGAGUGAGAGGAGCCGAGUGAACGACAUGUGGCACCGACAAACUGAUGAUUUAUGUAUUUGUAUAGAUUGCCUAGUUUCACGUAGACUUCUGCUUGAAAAAUAUUGGAGUUAGCACAUGUACAGUAACAAUACCAAGCUUGGUGAAUAUAUUCUUUAUUUUGGUUGGGAAGCAUGUGGACGACAUCUAGAGCUUUAUAUUCAUUUUUGAAAAUCUUCAGCUAUCUGAUUUUACUAAUCCAUCAUGGUGAUAAAGUUGAACGUAUCAAUGGAUAUCAGAAGAUUCUAAACUUAACCCAGAUUGCAAUUUUAUGUGUAAUAAAUUUUCAUGGGUUGUAAUUUCAAGAGUAGCGAUUUUGAAUAGCAAAUGAAUUAAGGGCCUUGGAACUUUGUAAUGGAAAAUAUGGUUCAAUUAACUCGUUGAUGUAUUCUAUGGGAUGAAAAUUUGCAUUGUUGGCUUAGAGUGUGUUUGGUUCCACGUAAAACUGUGAAAAAAAAAUUUCGGUGAAAAAAAAUUUUCGGAGAAAAAUAAGUUUUACGCUCUUUAAUGUUUGGUUUGUGGGAAAAGAAACUAGUAUUCUAUUACGGUUGUUUGGUUGAAAGAAAAAGAAAGAAGUUAUAAAUAAAAUACUGUUAUAUCGAUUUUUUAUUUUAUAUAUUAUAUAUUAUUGAUAUAUAAUAAUUAUUAUAUUACAUAUAUUAAUAUUAUAGUUUAUAAAUAGAAAUAAAAUAUGUUUUAAAAAUAUUAUACAAUAAGAAUGUAAUAUAAUAUAUAAUAGUAUAUAUAUGUAACACUAUAAAAUAAAUUAAGUUUUUUAUAAAAUAUUAUAUAAUUUGUAUAUUUAUAUUAAAAAUUAAAUAUUAUCUUUAUAUAUGUGUGUAUGUGUGUGUCAAUGAAGAGGAGAGGUCCACCGUGGACCUUUCUCAUGCGGUCCACGAGGUGGAGGGGGUUGUGGAUUGCGUGCCUUUGUUCCCUAACGCGGGGCGGUGAACGCUGCGUGUUUUUGUUUUCUGCUCGCUUCGAGCGGAAAACAAAAAACCCUCGUUUUCCUUAUAAUCCGUAAAAAAAAAUUUUCGAGAAAACUUUUUUACAAGAAAACAAACAACGGAAUGUUACUUUUUCAUGAAAAAAAAAAUUAGGUGAUUUUACAAGGAGCCAAACACACCCUUAGGACCUUCGAUCCAAAACAUAACCAAAAAAAUUCCUUCCCGAGCAAGGAAGAAGGGUAGGAGAGAACAACUACUAAGAGUUAUACCACGUAAAUGAGGGUCCGAUGCAUUGGAAUUGUAAAAGUUGUGUUGGUUCUCAAUUAGUUUAUAUUGAAGAAAAUGAUUUUUUUUUUUUUUUUGACAUUCAUAACCUUAAAGGUUGGUAGGAAAGUAAAAAUAGUAAUUCGCGCUUGUUGAGCUCACUACACUGGGCCUUUUUGUUAUUUGGUCCUUUUUCUUCAGGCUAUGUAAUUUUGGUGAAGCCAAAUCUCCUAUUUCUUUGUUUUCUAACUGUCUUUUGGCCUCUUACUUGUAAGCCUUUGGAUCAUGAUCUUUUGAUCCAAAGGUCCAUAUUUGAUAGCUUCUUGUCUUAGGAGCUAAAGUGGGGGUGAUUAGAAUAUAAAAGAAUUAGAGAAGUAGAAAGUAAAAAAAUGUGGAAAAAAAGAGAAAACCCUAGAGCUUGGUUUAAUUUUAGUUUUAUCUAGAAGGUGGGAUUUUCCUUGUGAGGUGUGGUUUAUGCCAUUUUGGUAGAGUUAGAGAUUGUUAGAGCUCUCUUUGUACCUUGGAGUGAAGGUAGUAUUUUUCCUUUUUUUUUUCUCUUGUAAGCUCCAAGUUUUAUAAUGGAAGUUUUUUUUGCAUUGUUCUCCAGUGGAUGUGAGCAUAGUUGAACCACGUAGAAAAUUGUGGUUUUCUUUAUUUUGUGAUUGCUCAUGUGUUUGGCUUUCUAUUGAAUGCUUAUAGGGUGUGAAUUGUGAAAUUGCCCAUAAAGUGUUUGCGAAAUUGAUUUUAAUAUUUUUCACCCUCAUUUUACAACAAUUGGUAUCAGAGCUUGAUUGGUGGUUAUCUAAACAUUCACUUGUUUUCAUUCACUCAUCUUUCAAAUAGAGAAGGUAAUAGAAUUUGAGAAGUUGAAUGAGAGAAAUUGGACUAUAUGAAAAAUCAUGAUAGAGGAUUAUUUAGUUGCAAAAGAGCUUGAUUUACCAAUAUUAGAAAAGUAUGCAAAGCCCACUAGUAUAGAUAUUCUUGAAUGGGAUCUACUUGGCCGAAAAUGUUUAGCGGUGAUUAGGCCAUGUAUUUUACCAUUGAUCUUGUUUGAUCUCUAUCAAUGCAAGACUGCAUCCAAGUUGUGGGAGACUUUGGAGCAAUCAUUUGAGUAACCUUUUGGUGUGAACAAAAUGCAUGCAAUAAAGAGACUCAUUCUCUUGAAAGUGCAAGAAGGUUCUACAAUUUGCAAAUAUGUGAGUUCGUUCAAUUCCAUUAAGGCACAAUUGAAGUCUCUCAAAAUAAACUUUGAUGAAGAAGCCUUUUCUUUACUCUUUUUAAGUUCUUAAUCUUUAAGUGGGAUAUUUUUGUUACACUGGUGACGAACACAAUAUAUGACAAAUUCAAGUCAAAUGAUAUUUUUGCUUAUUGUUGAAUGAGGAAACUUGCAAGGCCACAUAUUAAUUGUCUAGUAAUAUGAGUCAAGCACUAAAAAUUGUGAAAGAGGAAAGUCGCCAAAGCAAUACUAAUCUUCUUACACAGGGAAUAUUUAAAAGUAAGGAAGGUCAAAGUGAUAAGGUAAAACGCUUAUUUGUUGGUAUUACAAGCAAACGGACCAUGUAAAAAAGGAUUGUUAUUGUCACGCCCGGGUACUAGCGGAAGCAUAUCCGGCACGUGCACAGACCCGCCAUACACCUGCAGUAUAUAAGGCGUCUAUAAAGAAAGCAUGUCGAUAGGAGGAAAACAUAGAAGGAUCCUAUCCUGACAUCAGAGCAAGUAUAAGUCAAUAAUACCAUGAACAGAAGCACAAAGAGUACACAACCCAAAAUCUCACAUCAUAGAGAAAUAUCAAAAUUACAAUCCCCGAUCCAAACCACAUACAUUACAGGGUACACAAAAUACAUGUACAAUGGUAGUCUCUCUAUACACGGGUACAUCACCCUCGGCCGUGGCACGAGUAGCAAGGUGAUCACCUAGUAAAACCGUAAGCUAGGUCUAGCUAGCGACACCCUUGCCGCGAUCCCUAGCCUCUUCUGUAGGUAGCUUUGUAAAAGCAACAAUAAAAAGGGUGUAAGAACUAUUAAACAAUAGUUCCCAAUGGGUAAGCCGCCAGCCUCGGCGAAUUACACCACUAGGCUCAUGAUGUACUAAAUGAAAGUAAAAGCAGUAAUUGCAUGAUAUAUUUACAAUGCUAACAGGUAAUGAGCAUGUAAUCAACAUGUAAUCAUACAUUCUACAGCAAUGAAUCAACUGAAUAAUAAAAGCAUAGCAAUUACUGUAAGCAUGAACAUAAACAUGAAUAUAAGCAUAAACGUGUAAGUAAAUACUGUACACUAUAACUGGUAAUCAAUCCUUACUACCAUCUGUCAUUUAGAACUUUAAUUUCAUUCAUAAGGACCUACACAAGGUAGUCCAGCUUGCGCCGCGCCUAAUGGCCCCGUGGUAGUAUGCACUUCCCACGGCAAUCCACUUCGGCACUCAAUCCUGCACUGGCGAGCAAUCUGUCGCAUAGGCCAACUCCGGAGUGCCGGCUUGUAGGGAGCUACCCUCACAAGCGUGUGCGAAUGAGUACAAUGACAAGCAAGCAAAGUCAAUAAUCCAAUAUGUCUCGAACGUCAUGUCAUAGUAUGCAAUGUUCUCACUCUCGAUCUAUUGAUCGGAAUUCUCAAUAUAAUAACAAUGACACUAGCUAGUAUCCACUAGAUUAGUAAGCACAUGAAAGUAAUGCUAAUUUACAUAUGGCAUUAAAAAAUUUCCACUAUCAAGGUACUAUCAAAAUAGUUACAAAGAAUAUCAUUGUUCUUUACUUUAUAGAAGCAUAAUAGAUAUGUCCAUUAGUUAUUCAACUGAACUAAACAUAAACAUAAAUACUUUUAUGCAUAAGUGUUCUCUACUUCAUAGAGGUUCCAUUUCAAUUAUAUCAAAUGUUAUGGUGAUAUGUUCCAAGCCCUUUAUCAAUCGCAUAAUCACAAAAACGCACAUAUGUGUCAAUUCUAUGGUAUCAUAUAGAACAUAGGGGAGCUUCACUUGUUCUGGUCAAACCCACCUAUCACUAAGCUCAAUCCAGCCCAAAAGAGUCCCGAAAUUCAGCUCAACUGGUUCAUGAACCUGCUGAAAAACAAGUAUCAAAAUCGCAUCGAAACUACAACCGAAAUGUCCAAUUUCGGCACAAUUCUCACUUAAUACAAGGUAGUAACUUAAAUCCCUGUUUUGGUUCACUUUAGUACCUCAAGUUCAACCUCCAAAAGCUCUCACAAGUCAGCCAAAGACGAUCCAAGGGUCGAUUGCACCCUCGCUGCGAACAACACCAAAACGGCAUCAAAAUACUUGUAUACAAGUUAAUAUAGCCGAAAUCUUGCGAAAUCAGUUUUCUAACUGAAAUUUCAGCUUACGCCUGGUUGAAACACCUUCUAAACCAGCCCCCAAGGUCACCAAUUUAACGUAAAAUGAAUCGGAAACCUGCUGCGAAGAAAUCAUUCCAAACUGCAUCAAGUUGCUCAAAUAAACCGCGUUUCGUUCCGAAAUAGAAUUAUAAAUAACUCAUUACCUUUCUCAAGCUUCAAAGCAACUUUUCCUUGGACUAAAAUGGAGAAAUCACAACUAGAUAACUCCUCUCUAGCUGCUGGAAUCCUUCUCCAACUCAGCUGGAAGCAACGAAACCAAAACGCAUCAAAAUCCGACAUUAAACCACAAACUAGAGAGAAAUUGAGCUAAAUACCUCUCUAAAACUCUUUUUCAGCAACUCCCUGCUUUAGACAUGAAGAACACUGCCAAAACACUUCAUUUCACCCUUUAAAAGCUGGCCCCAAGUCCACCCAAACAGCAAGCAUCGAGCGGGGCGCGAAAUCGGCAUGAAACCUGCGAUUCCUACUUGAAGAGAGAGAAAUCCUAGAGAGAGAAAGUGGAGAAGGUGAAAGAACCUUUCUUUGAGCUCUAGCAACCUCCACCAGGCUCCAGGAGUCGUGCUGGGGUCAAAUAGAUAGGGACAAGAAGUGAAAUUACAAAAAUAGCCUUGCUGCCACGUAUCUGCCAAUGUGUACCGGUACAAGGUGAUGGCUGUACCGGUACACAAUGCAAAAUUUCGCUAGAAAUGCACUUUCUUGCUUCUGGCCAUUCAAUCACUUCUCUAACUUGUCCAAAAGUUUGUCUAAGCUUUUUAGAAGAUGUAGGAUAGUUCCACAUAUCAUUCCACACACUUGAACUUCGCAAUUUGCUAAAGGUCAGUGUAUUACAGUUAUGCUUUGAAAAUCAAGCAAAAAGGUAAAGAUAAGGAUGUCAAGAAUAAACUAACAAUACUUCGGAUGGUUAAGGUGGAGUCACAUUAAGUAUUGCUUGCAUAGUCUCUUCUUGUGGAAACACCGGGUUUUGGAUUCCAAUGCUUUUUUUCAUGUUUCUCUGGAUCGGUUAUAUUUUUAUAUUUUUGUACAUAUAAAAAAGGAGAUAUUGAAUAUGUUUAUCUUGGUAAUUAUCGAGCAUAUAAAAUUGUGGGUAUUGGUGACAUUGUUAUAAAACAGAUAAAUGGCAAGAAGUAUAUAUUGGGAAAUGUGCGUCAUGUUCCAAAGAUCACAAAAAACUUAAUAUCUGCAGGACAAUUGAAUAAUUUCGGUUUCAUUAUCACUUUUGAAAAGGGCUUUUGCAAGAUAUUAAGUAGGAUGACUAUUUUGAAAGUGCAAAAAGAUGAAAGUCUCUAUACACUUCGUGGAAUCGUUCAAAAGGGUGAUGAUCCAAAUUUGGUGAUUGCUAUCGCAAGCAAAGGCGAAGAUAUGCAAGUUUGGCAUAAUUGGCUUGGUCAUCUAAGUGAGCAUGGUAUGAAGGUAUUACAAGAAUAUUACAUUAUUCCAUAUAGAGUUAACUCACAAAAAAAAAGAGAUGCAUAGAGGAGGCAAGCUAUUAGAAUUGGUUUAUUCCUAUAUUUGUGGUCAUUUCAAUGUUAAGUCACCUGGAGAUGCAUACUACAUUACUUUCUUAGAUGAUUAUUCUGGAAAGUAUUGGAUUUAUCCUUUGGCUUUAAAAUAUCAAGCUUUUGAAAUUUUUAGGAAAUCCAAAGCCUGUGUUGAAAAAGAAAGUGAACAUUUUAUUAAGUGCUUGCAAAUCGACAAUGGUCGUGAAUUUUGCUCUAGCACCUUUGAUGAUUUUUGCUUAGAAAAUGGCAUCAAAAGAGUGAACCCCUCAACAAAAUGGGAUUGUUGAAAGAAUGAAUCAAACUAUUGGGGAGCGGAUUUGAAUUAUGUUGUCUCACUCCAGUCUACCAAAGCCUCUUUGGGUUGAUGCAGCAAAUACGGCCGUUUACUUGAUUAAUAGAUCACCUAUGUUGCUUUGGAUAGAGACAUUCCGGAAAGUACAUGGACUAGCAAAGACAUUUUCUAUGGGCAUUUGAGAAUAUUUCGGUGUGAAGCAUAUAUUCACAUUCCAAAAGAACGUAGAACCAAGGAUUUAAGUGCCGAUCGGCACGGGCUGUAUCUACCGUGUAGUACCGUGCCAACAAGAUAUCGGCAAGAUAGAACCCCCAUGUCGAUGGCAUAGUUCAAAAUUUUCUAUUUUUUAAAUUAGUAAGUAAUUUUCUUAAUAAAGUUUAAAAGAUUUGAUAAAAAUACAUAAUAAACAGUUAAAAUAUUUUGUUGCUAAAAAAAAUAAAUAUUUCAUGCUAUUAUGUGUCAGCACACGUGAAUUUUGUGACCGGCAUGCAUUGGCACGGUCUGGCACGCACCGUGCUGUACCGUGCCGGCAAGUUUUUGGCACAACCCAUGCCACGACACUUAAAUCCUUGCGUAGAACAAUGCUUGAUAAAAAUCAAGGAAAUGUGUAUUUUAUGGCUAUGGAGGCAUGGGUUGGGCCAUAGGCUUUGGGAUCCCAUUGCUAGAAAAAUUUUUCGGAGUCGGGAUGUUGUGUUUAGAGAGGACGUAAUGUUUAAAGAAGGUACAGAAGAAGAGCAAAAGAAAGAUAAGCUUGUUGUUGAUGUACAAGUUGAUGGUUCUUCUCAAGAUGUGCACGAAGUUUAUCCUCUACUUUAUAAUAGUAAUGUUGGUUAUGAUAGUAAUGUUGAUCAUGAAGAAAGUAUACAAUCUGUUAAAACUCUGCAUGAUUUCUCAUGAAAACGAUGACAAUGUGUCUACCCCAGAGGGACAUGAAUUGAGAAGAUCAACUAGGCCACACAAACGCACCCAUAGAUAUUCCUCUUUCUUGUACUACACUUUAUUUACUAAUUCGGGUGAGUCCGAGUGUUUUCAGGAAGGAAAAGAUUGUCCUAGAGAAGCAAAGUGGAAAAGGGCAAUAGAUGAUGAGAUGGAUUUCUUACAUCAAAACCAUACUUAGGAAUUGGUAGAGCUUCCGGUCGAAAAGAAAGCAUUGAAAAAUCGACGGGUUUAUGUGAUUAAGAAUGAAGUCGGCAAGGCUUGAUGUUAGCGGCUAUGGACAAAAGCAAAGUAUUGACUUCAAUGAAAUAUUUGCUCCUAUUGUUAAGCAUUGCUCAAUUAGAGUUGUUUUAUCCGUAAUUGCAGAUUUGGAUCUUGAGCUUAAACAACUUGAUAUUAAAAUCGUUUUCUUGCAUGGUGAUUUGGAUGAAGAAAUUUACAUAUUUAAACCCAAAGGCUUUGUUGAUGAAGCUAAUCCUAAUUUAGUAUGUAAGCUAAAAAAGGGAUUGUAUGGUUUAAAUCAAGCAUCUAGACAAUGGUAUAAGAAGUUUGAUUCUUUUAUGCAAGAUAAAGGCUACAAAAGAUGUGAUUUUGAUCAUUGCUCAACAUAUGACUCUUUCACUAUUUUGUUACUAUGUAUGGAGGAUUUGUUGAUUGUUAGUAAUCAAGGAUUUAAGUGACGUGGCACGGGGUCGUGGCGAAAAUUUACUGGCUAUGCUAAUGCGUGCCGGUUACAAAAAGUACAUGUGUGCCGAUACAUAAUGGCAUGAGAUAUUUAUUUUUUUAACAACAAAAUAUUCUAACUGUUUAUUAUGUAUCUUUAUCAAAUCUUUUGAACUUUAUUGAAAAAAUUACUUACUAAUUUAAAGAAUAGAGGGUUUUGAAUUGUGCCGUCGGCAUAGGGGGCUGUAUCGUGCCGAUAUCUUGUUAGCACGGUUCAGCACGAUGGAUAAAGCCCAUGCCGAUGGGCACUUAAAUCCUUGGUAGUAAUGAUCAAAAUGAUAUUACAAAAUUAAAGCUUGACAUGUCGAAAAAGUUUGCUACUAAAGCAAGAAAAAUUUUGGGCAUGCAAAUUAGAAGGGAUAGGGAGUAUGGCAAGUUGUAGCUUAGUCAAUCGGACUAUAUUUCCAAGGUUCUUGAAAGGUUUGAAAUGAAUGACUGUAUGCCGUUAGCCGAGCAUUUUAAGUUAUCCAAAAAGACAAAAGAAUGAGACCGAAAGAGAUAAAAGAAAGAAUGUUUUUUAUAAUUCUGCCAUUGGGGGUUUGAUGUAUGCUAUGGUUUGUACAAGAUCAGACAUAGCUUAUGCGGAUGGAGUUAUUUCAAGAUAUAUGUCCAAUUCGGUAAAGUAGCAUCGGCAAGCCGUUAAGUUGGUUCUUUGGUAUUUGAAAGGCUCACAAAAUGUUUGCAUAUGUUUUGACGAAACUUCUUUGGAGGUUGAAUAAAUAUGUUGAUUCUGAUCAUGCCAGUUGUAGAGAGACAAGAAAAUCCAUUAUGAGAUAUAUUUUCACAUUUGGAGGUAGUGCGGUUAGUUGGAUUCUAGGUUGCAAGACAUUAUUGCUUUGUCCUUUACGGAAGCGAAAUAUGUUGCCUUGACCAAAGCGGCGAAGGAAAUGAUUUGGUUGAAAUGAUUUCUUGCACAAUUCGGAGUGAAGCAAAACAAAGAUGUUAUGCAUUGUGAUAAUUAAAGUGCAAUUCAUCUUGCAAAGAAUGCGGCACAUCACUCCCAAACUAAGCAUCUUAAUGUUCGCUUUCACUUUAUUUAAAUGGCAUUAGAUCGUCGACACUUGGAUGUGGAGAAUAUCGAUACAAAGAAAAAUCUUGCGGAUAUGUUAACAAAAAUUGUUCCUACAGAAAAGUUCAUAUUUUGUAGGAAGUAUUCUAGAUUGAUCAAGACGUAGAUGGGGUGGUUGGAGAACAACGCAUUGUGAUGAAGCUUACUUGAUGGAUGAAGAUUACUUGUCUGAAUGAUAGAGAUUUGCCUUAAAGUGGGAGAUUUUUUUGCUAACUGCAUUGGGCUUAUUUGUUUUUUUGGUCUUGUUCUUUGGGCUAUAUAAUUUUGGUGGUUAAAUCUUCUUUGUCUAUGUUUUCUAACUAUGUAUUUGGGCCUCCUACUUGUAAGCUUUGGAUUAUGAUUCUUUUGAUCCAAAGGACUAUAUUUUAUAGCUUCUUGUCUUAGGGGCUAAAGUGGGGUAAUUAAAAUAUUAGAGAAUAUUAGAGAAGUAGAGAAUAAGAAAAGAAGUGGGGAAAAAAAAAGAGAAAAAUCUAAGAGCUUGGUUUAAUCAUAGUUUUAUAAGGAGGUGAGAUCUUUUUUGUAAGGUAUGAUAUAUACCAUUUGGGUAGAGCUAGAGAUUGUUAGAGCUCUUUUUGUACUUUGGAAUGAAGGUAAUAUUUCUCCCAUAUGUAUCUCUCUUGUAAUCUCCAAGUUUUAUAGUGGAAAUUUCUUUCACAUUGUUCUCCCGUAGAUGUAGACAUAGCGGAACUAUGUAAAUUCUUGUAUUCUUACAGUUUUCUUUAUUUUGUGAUUGCUCAUGUUGGGUUCUCCAUUGAAUGUGUAUAGGGUGUGUGUUGUGAAAUUGUCCACCGAGUAUUUGUGAAAUUGCCAUCAAUAUUUUUCACUCAUUUUACAACAGUUCUACUAAAGGGGGCAAAAUCAAAGAAUUUUAGGAAAUCAGGUAGAUAAAGCAAAAGAUUAUGUGAAGCAGACCUAUUAUUUAUCAUCCUAAAUGUCCCUCUUUUGCUAUAACCUGCUGGCUAUCUUCCGUUCAAGCUUCCUCAUUGUGGAAACCCUUCCUUUUCUGCUAGUUACAUAAACUACUUUGUUGUGUGUUGGCAAUUGGUUUCGUUAAGCUGCAUUCUUAUAUAUCAAUAUCCAAAUAAGUGAUAUCUAUUUCACCGAGAUUCCAAGCAAGGCAGCUUCGUAUAAUCUUGCCUCUUGGAGAAGUUAAUCAGGUGGUAGUUUGUGAUAUAUCAUCAGUCUUCCUGGACUGUUCAACCUAAUCAUUAUAAAUAGAUGUUUUCUUUCACCACCAACACUUGGAGAUUUCCUGCAAGUUUGCUAAAAUUUAUCUUUUUGGAGUUUUUGCAAUUAGUGCUUAUCAAUAUUUCCUGGUAAUUGAUUUGGUUUUAGAGCUAUUACUUCUUUCUUGGUUCGAAUUUUCUGUCUUCUUUCUUUGUACAGAUAUUCAUCGCUUUUCACCUAUUCAACUUCUAAAUUAUGUUUGAAAAAUUCCAUCAACUGUAGUUCCAAAAAGCAGUGCAUUCAGUUGCAUGUGUGGAUUUGGUUGUUUGGCUGCUCUGCAUAGGCUACACUGACAUAAGGUGUAGGUUCCUGCAUAACAAACACAUAACUAACCUGCCCACUGUCAUACCUUUCUUUUGGCAGGCAGUAGUAGGUUUUGCAUGAUAAGUAAUGUGAUUAUUUGUCUCAUCUUUUAUUUUCAUUUCAGAAGCACGAGGGUUAUCCAUCUGGAUCAAUGGUUGAUUAUGCAUGCGAUCAGGAUGGCUCCCCUAUAUUAGCAGUUAGCAGUCUAGCAGUUCAUUCAAAGGUUUGAUUGGCUACAUCACCCUCUCACACAUUUGAAGCCGAUGUUAUUAUAGUCAUAAGUCUAGAUUGAAAUAACUGAUGUAUAAUCUCUCAAUCCUUAUUUAACAUCCAAAAAUUUUAAGGCCAUGCAGCUAACUAUAUUAAUAUGUACAGAAUCUUUCAGGAAAUCCGAAAUGUUCCUUGCUUGUCGCCAAGGAUCCUGCAGAUAGGACAGAUAUAACAAUCACCAUAUAUGGAGAUGCUAUGCCUGUAAGCGCAUUACUCUCCCUGUGCCCCAUCUCUCUCUCUCUCUCUCUCUCUCUCUCUCUCUCUCUCUGCAUUUCACAUUUCAUUGUUCAUUCUGAUCCACCUACUAGUGUUUACCUCCUAGUAUGUCCUAUGAUAUCUUAUUAUUUAUCUUGUUAUUUGCUUUGCAUUGUAAAGUGCUAAAUAGCCUUUGGAGUUAUCAUCAUAUUGCUUCUAUUUUUGUCGACUCUACAAUAACAUAUUUUUGACACUACAGCUUAUGUGAGAAGUUUGAUUUCCCAGCCAGCAUGUUAUCUCAUCUUAUGCUAUCUAAAAGUAAGGCAUGAGUAGCUCAUUGCCUUAACAGUUAAACUUAAUGGCAGCAGUUUGUUGGGUUUCAUUCUUAAUGUUGUUCUACUUAUGCAGUUUGAUACUCUUGAGUUGACCAAUUUCUGCACAGAGAUUUUGACCUAUCUUAUUUGUAAACUAAUUCAAAAUUUUGAGUCCUACAUAUGCACUGUAGACUUGUUAUUCCUCAGUUAUGCCAUUGUCGUUCUGUUUUAUGACUUCAUGUGUAUUGAUUAAGCGUUCUAUUGCCUUCACUUAAGGUUUCAGAAGAUGAUAGAGAUGGCAUACGGACUGCAUACUUGAGGAGACAUCCUGAUGCAUUCUGGGUAACAUUUUGGUCACUUUUCCAAUUGUCUACUCACAAUUAUGUUGUAUUCCUCCAUGGUGUUAUCUGAUAUCUUAAAGCCUCUAAUCAUAGGUUGAUUUUGGUGACUUCCAUUUUGUUCAUAUCAAACCGAAAUUUGUGAGAUAUGUAUCUGGAGUUGCAACAGCUCUGCUUGGAUCAGGAGGUAUGCGGAUGAGCAGUUAUGUUGAAGAACUAGAAUUUAGAGAUAACAUAAAGAUAAUAUCUUCCACUAGUAAUUAUAAAAAUAUAAACACUGCCCUCUAUCAGCUUAAACUUUUAGAGUACAACGAUUGUUUUAUAAAAUUUAACAUGGUACCAGAGCAGGAGGUUUUCAGUUUGAGUCACACCAGGCUCCUAGCAUAAUUGAUUUCCUUCCAUUUAAUUUAAGUCCACAUCAUGAGUCUAUUAAAAAGCCUUGAUCUCAGACGUGAGAGAGAGUGUUAAAUAUAAAAAAUAUAAAAACAUCAUUCUCUAUCAGUUUAAGUUUUUGGAGUACAACAGUUGUUUCAUAUAAUUUAACAUACUACCAUUUACUUUUAUGAAAAAUGAUUGUUACUGCUGUUUCAUUUUGGCCUGAAAUGGCCUUUUGAGGCCUAAACAUGCUUCUUUGCUUUUGGGUGCACAAAAUACCUUGCAUAUUUGUGGUACAUAGAAACAAUUGUCGGUAAGUUUAAGAAGGUAUUAGAUGUUAGAAAGAAUAUAUAAUCAUCUGAUUUCAGCAGCUGACUUACUGGUUAUCGGUGAUAUUACCGUCACCAGAAUUUAGUGCAGAGGAGUAUAAGGCCGGGCAAGUGGAUCCUAUAUCUCAGUUUUCAAAUCCUAUUACGGUAUUCCAACCUUGUCUCUGUUACCUUAUUUUACCUUUUGAUUAUUUAUUUUUCCUGCACUUCAACUUGUCUUUUUGUAGUCCCACAUGAACAGGGAUCAUGCUGAAGAUACAAAGCUAAUAGUGCAACAUUCAACCUCAGUAAAGGUAUGCUGAUCUGAGAUUUGCUUGUAUCAAUGUGCCAUAAAAGGAAUUACAUUAUUGUAAAUUGAAUAAAAACUUCUGUUUAGACCUGUGAAGCAGUUGAGUUGCCUUGAAAGAUUUUUGAUGAGUUCCGUUACCAUGAAUCCCGUUCUUAUUUUUGCAUUUGGGUUUUGAUUCUCUCAAUACUUAUUGUUUAGGAUUUUGAGAUUGAGACUAUUAUAAAGAAUGGCUGACACUUUGUACCCAUUAUUGUUACAGAUAGACAUGCGACACCUUGGAUUUCCUUGGAAAACAGAAAUUAUGCUAUCAUUUAGUGUUUUAAGGAGCCUAAUAGAAUUUUAGCAACCGCAUCAUGUUGUGCUCAUAUAAAACCAGUUACAAUACAUUCUCAAUGGACUGAGUUAGUUCCUGCAACUAUAGUGUGCUUAGUUCCAUGGGAACGAUCUACUGUAAUCAUUGUUAUAAUGUUAGUUUAGACUCGUUUAAAUGUGAUUUUGACUAUGAAGCAGUCAUUUAUUUCCUGUAAAUAUUCAUCUCAUAUAAGGAAACACCUCUUUGUGUUUGUCAGGCUUUGGCGGAGUCUGUACUGUUCUAAUAGUUCAAUAUUUUUUAACUGUGAAUGUUUCAAAUACUAAAAUAGGAAAAUAUCUUCAGGUGGAUUCUGCUUACAUGCUGGAUGUGGAUAGUCUUGGUUUCAAUGUGAAGGUAGUAUUAUUGUUCCUCUAUCUAUUUCUGUUUCGGUAUUAUACUGUUGGUGGUGUUUCCAUGAAUAUUGAUAUCUUAUGGUGAACGCAUUGCAUUAAGUUAGGUCAUAUUAUUUUCUUAAUGUAGCAGUGAGAGAAAGAAUCCACAACCUAAGAUAUUGAAAGUUUGCUACUGUAGGUAUUGAAUGUUUUCUUUGCAACCUCAUCCAUCCUCAAAAUUAAUUCUGCAAGAAAGAAUGAUAAUGCUGAUAGCUUGUGUUUCUAGGCCUAUGAAUCAAAUAGGUUUGUGCAUCUUCAGUAGGUGUAUCCUUUGUUUCCAAGCAGCAUUUGUAGCAUAAUUCCUUUUGGUGUGACUAGGAAAAUUAAACAGGCGCUUUGUAUAUCAGAUUUACCUAGCUCUAAGUAUGUUUGAUUAGUUCUGAGCAUAGGUGCUGUCGGCACUUAGAGAAAUAAAAAAAAAACCCUCUGUAGGUUUGAUUCAACAACAUAAGUUACAUAACUAUGGUGUACCAUGUUAAUAACUUUAGCUGUCAUCAUAACAAAUUUCAACGCUAUUGAUCUCAUAUACAAACAAUCUGUUUGCUUUUUCAAUUGAACUACAAGUUCUCAUUCAUUUGAAUUCCACAGCUCAUUUUUGCUUUUCUAUGUUUAGGCUGUUUAUCAAGGAAACAGUAUGAAGCUCCGGAUCCCUUUCCCAAGGCCAGCACAAGACAGAAAGUAAGCCAUAGAAAUAUCUGCAUUAUGCUUUCAUAAAUGUUGUUUUUAGUAAGUUCUCUUCCGUUCUUUUCUUGUUGCUCAAAACUGGGGAUGGAAGUAGCUUCCGUAUCUCAACAUUGCGGUUGCCUUGUUUCUUAUGCAGGGAUGUCAAGACUCUUAUUGUUGAAAUGCUUCAAUCUGCGAGAGCCUCGAUUUCAACUACGGAAUAAAAACUUUGUAGAUCGCAGGUAAUGUUUCUGAUAAGUUCUUGAUUUCUCCUGGUUGAAAUAUUGCUUAGUACCUGUACUUUCAUCACUCCUCUUUAACAUGUAAAAGAAUCUUCAAGAGGAAUGCACUAGUUAAUGCUCCUAUAGUAUUAGCAUAUCUUACUAGCCUUGGUGAACUUACCGGUGUGACACUGGUUGGACUCUUGGAGAUGCAUAGAAGAUGAAAAGUAGCUUUCUACAUAUUACGAGGAACCUGCUUACUUUAAACACAUAAGCACCUGAUGGAUAGACCUUUUCUCUCGUAAAAUAUGAAAUAUGAAAUAAUAUUAUAGCAUGAACUUCGACAGAUUUUGUGCAAAUUGUUUCUUUCCCACUUGGGAUAUCUAAAAUGCACUUCCAAUCAACUGGUAUUACAGCCGAUCGACCUAUAAAAACUGUGUCUAGAACAAUGAAGUAAUACAAUUGUUGAAUAAAGGCCUCUAUAAUUUCUUCUUCUUUUUUUUUUUUUUCUUUUUUUUCCACUUUCCUGCAGAUGGAGAUGAAAGAGAGUUCAAUUUCGGCACCAACGCAGCGAACAGAAUGAGGAGUGCAUGAGAUACCAGUAAAAUAAUACACAAAAGGAAUAAAUUUGUAUUUCUUUAACCUUUGAAAGUUCACCGAGUUUCCUUACAUCUCUUGAAUGAAAAUGAAAGCAAAAUGGAUUGUAUUAAAAAUUUGUAAAUUGUUUACAAAUUGAAACUGUGUAAAGAAAAAUGGGUUGUGUUAAAUUUGUGAAAUGUUACAAAUUGAAACUAUGUAAACAAUAUGUGAUGUGAGGGCCAAAGUGUGAGACAGCUGUUAGGCCCCAGCCUUGCUAUUGUCCUGUAUAUCUUGAAAGCAAAUUGGUCUUUUCUGUGAUCCCCAUAUGUAGUGGUUGUGAUGUUAUUUCAGAGUGAGAAAGAGCUUGUUGGGCUUAUCUGGAUUUAUCUAUGUAUCAUUCCAAAAACUAUUUGUUCUCAAGUUCCCAGUAGAUAGCCCUAUCUCUUUGUUUUCUUUUUCUUUUUUCUCCUUUGGUUUUGUCCUCUCUGUUUUUUUAAUGUCAUACCAUAUGAGUGGUCCUUUUUUGGUUCUGAAAAAAAAUGGUUUGAUUGGAAAUAUUGUGUAAAAACUAAAUGAAAACUGGAGAGCAAACUUUUCUUUUUCUUCUUUUCAAUUUAAUGACAAACAAAUUGCAUUGGACAUAAUUUUUUAGUUUAUAAUCGAUUAUUGAACACCUUUGCAGGUGUACUUCAUUUGCAGAGGAUUGUCUUUUGGAAAGAGGAAUCUGAGUAUGUGGAAAGCAGAAGCACUUCAUAGCUGGAGAAUCAUGCAGCACUUGAUAAAAAGAAAAUGACCAACCCAUUAAAGGAUUUAAAAAUCACACUGUAUCCCACCUAUUUAAAAUCUUUAGUUUUACCAUCUAUUCUUUUAAUUUAUUUGAUUUGAAUUUUUUGAUGGCUCCGUAAGAAUUAGUACUAUUGUGCAGUAUAUCUGAACAUUUGUACACCACUCUUGUCGUUCUUUCUCCAACCACUCUAAUUCUUCGAUCUUCGCCACUCAAAAAAUUGCAAAAUUUUCUAUUUACAAAAUUAUCAGGAUGCAAAUCAAACUUCUAUAUGGUGUGAAAUCGAAACUUUUUGAGAAAUUAGCCAGGCAUUUUUGAAAAUUUUACCUUUUUUUUUCCACAAAAAAAGUGCAUCACUGGUUUUUUUUUACUUUAAAAUGGCUUCCCUAUAUUUUCUAUUAGAAGUGAGAAUCCAAUAUCUCUCGUAUUAAUAAACCACCAAACCUCCUUUUAUUAUUAUUUUAAAGGGAGAAUCUAUUCUUGGUAACAUUUAAAAAAUAAUACUUUAUUGCAACACAGCAAUGGGCCAAAAAAAACAAAAAAAAGCAGAGUAAUGUACUAUUAUACCGUUGGUGGCGUUAAAUUUUGAAAGGACCUUAUUGUGGGCGUACAGCAAAAAUUCUAUACCGAUAUAAUACACAUAAAAUUUAUUUUCUAAUUUUUAAAUUUAUUAAAAAAUUUGACUUAAAAAAUAGAUUUAUAUAAAAGGAAUAAUUUCAUAGAUGCCCUUCUAGAAACUAUUAAUUUCAUCAAUACCCUUCUAAAAUUGAUAAUAUCACAAAUACCCUCCAAUAGGUUAAAAAUUAUCAUAAAUGCCCUCUAUUAGUUUAGAUCCGUUAGGUCCCAUUUGAAACGGAGUUAAAUUUUCAAAAUACCAUUUUUACCCUUUAUCUCUUAUUAAUACUUAAUAAUAAAAAUACUAAUAGGUAUUUCAAGAUAAUUUUCUAAAUCUAAAUUUGAGUAUUUAAUAUAUACAUAUUAAAUUAAAUCAUUAAUAUAUAUUAAUUAUUAAAAAAUAUAUAAAAAUUAUAUUUUAUAUAUAGUAUGUUUUUAUCUAAUUUUGGUUUUGUUUUUAGUUUCGGAUUUCGGUUCAAGUUCAGUUUAAAUAUAGACCAAACGCAUAAUUGAAUUUACAUACGAUGGGAUUUUAUUUUUUGAUAUCUAUAACUGAAACUAUUCCUAUUCAGCUAUUGAUUAAGCUUACCUCAUUUUAAAUCGAUUCAGAUAAAAACGUAAUACUUUAAUAUCAUUUAUAUCCUAAUUAAGUAAUAAUAAUUUUGGAAAAUAAUUAUAGAUUUAUUUUUCCUAUUUAAGCAAAGUAAUCACAUAAAUAUAUCAUGAAUUAUUUCUGUCGAUUGAAACAAAAGAGAGUUUUAGUUCGAAAGCUAAAAUAUAUUAUGUUUCAAGUUUUUAAUGGCAUUUAAUGCAGAGUAAAUUAUCGAUAUAAUUUGAUUAAAAAAAAAUUUAAGUUCAAAAUAAAAUCAGAUAAUUUUAUAACAUUAUUUUUAUUUAAAUUUUUAUAUAUAUUAUUUAUUCAUAAAAAUAUAAUAUUGAGCGACUAGAUUUGGUGAAUUAUCAAAAAUUAAAUAAAAUUCUCAUUUUUCAUACACUGAAAAUGAAUAUGCUACUAAAAUAAAGUUGAGGGAGCAAUUUUCAAAUGGCAGAAGUUGAAGGGGACUCCAUACAUUUUUACUGUAAGAGAACUUAGCUGUAAAUAAGUCAUUUUAAAAUUAACCAUUCUUUAACCCUUUAAUACUAUGUAAAGCAAUAAUUAACAGUAAGGUAUUGGAUGAUACAUUUUUGUAUUUUCUAAGGGUAUAGGAUAUAUAUUAAUUUGUGCGGCAUCGAUGAUAUUUUAGACUUUGAGAGGGGUACAUGAAAUUGCCCUAUAUAAAAUAAAAAUAAUAUAUAUAAAUAUAAAAUAUAAAUAUAAGCAUAAUUUAUAUUUAAACAUAAAAUUAUAGUUUUUCAUUCAAAUUUUUAAUAAUUCGAAAAUAAUUCGCGAUUAUUUGGCUGAUAAAAAUUGCGAAUAAUUUUCUUUCUUUGAAAAAAAUUAAAAAACGUGCCAUUAAUUUGAAUUUUCAAUAAUUCGCGAAUAUUUCGCGAAUUAAACUAAUAAAGCUGUGAGUACACACAAAUUUAAUUUAUAAUUAAUUCAUUAAAUUCAGAUUUUAUUUUCUUCAUAUUAUCUUAUUAAAUUACCAUACUACCUUUCCUCCCUUGAGACUUAUAUAUUCCAAAUGAAUCCAAAAGCUGGCCCUCUACAUCAGUACACAAUUCACAGGUGGAAUUAUUGGGGUUUGAAUACAAAACAAAAUUCAUGUGGUAGCCAUGUGACACCCACAAUUAUAUAUAUGAUAUAUAAUAUAUAGAGAAGGAGAGUAGAGGAGAUGAGAGAGUAAGGACUCUAUGCAUCGUAAUACGGAGUUCUUCUGUGCUUCCAGGUCGUUUCGAUGUUUGCGAUUCGAAUGGUCAAUCGCUCUUUAAAUUGAUCAGAGUAUGGAAGUAGUACCUAUAUAAUUUUUAUUAUUUUUCGAUUCAAUUUUGCUUGGGAUGAAUGGAUCAAAAUCAAUCAAAUUUUAUAAUGGCCGAGUGAGCCGUUGGCAAGUUUAAUGGUGUAGAAAUAUCAAAUCACGUGAAUUUUAUUAGAAAAUUUUUAACUAUAUAAAACAGAUUCAAUAUUUUGAUUAAAUUUUAAGAUUGUCGAUAGUUUUACUUUUGUAGAUUUUUAUUUUCAGAAUCGCUUGAUUUGAGGCCCCUUCGUUUACAUAGGCAAAUGAUAUGCGUAAUAAACUACAAUUUGAUUUCUGGUAUUCAAUACUCUAGAAUAAGGUUUAAGCGGGCAGAUCGGACGUCUCGAGAAGUCGCAACAUGCGAAAACUGGAGGCUGGAAGAAGAAGGCUCCCAUGUUCGAUAGCAUAGUAGCUCACUAUAUAAUAUAUAUAUAAUAUAUAUAUAUAUAAUUAAUAUACUAUAUAUACAUUACUCUAAUGAGUGCUUCCUUAUCUUUUUUUAAAAAUUAAAUGAAAUAAAUGUUUUUCAAAAAAAAAAAAAAAAAAAGGUUGGUGGCCAUGCAAUUAAAAGUUGAUCCCAAAACAGUUAGGCCCAGGAACCCACUAAAAAAGAGGUUCAUAACUCAAAUGAAAAAGGUGAAGUAAAAAGUUAGAAAAAGAAAGAAAGAAAGAAAGAGGGCCAUGCAUCUAUCAAAUUCACAUGCAAUCCACCUUUUUUAGUCAGAUUCUACCAUCUAAAAACCACUAAAUUAGAUUUUGUACAGAAUCUCUUCUUUUUUUAAGAUUUACUGUGGAUAGUAAAAUCUAAAGCCCACACCUUUUUCUACCAUGCUCAUAGAUACUGGAAUCUCAAACACACAAAAUCAAAUAAACAAUAAUACUCACAUGUGGAAUGCAACAAAGGAGAAAAAGGACAAAGCAACACAACAGCUUAAUGGUGUACAUGAGUGAAAAUGAUGGACCCCACAGUAGGCCUGUUUCUUUCUCUUAAGAAACUUGACCAUCCUCAUCCCCAAAGAGCUUACAUAUGGAGAGAGAGCAAGUACCAAAAGAAACAUUAAAAAGAAAAAGGAAAAAAAAAAAAAAAAAAAGGACUACAACAAACCCAAAAUUCUCCAAGGAAGAGAACAAUUUCACAUGCCCAUGCCACAUACAACUACUUGCCUAGGAGUGAUUAGUAAAAAUGAAAGAAGAGAAGGGGAAAAAAAGAAAGGGAGGGGUUGCACUAUAUUGAAUGGUACAAUACAAGAGAGUAGGGCAAAUUUUCUUUUUUUUUUUUUAUUUUCUGAUUAUGGACAAUUGGGGUUUUGACCAGGACCACCAUAGUAGAAGUAGCUGCCCCAAUCACCAUUGUUGCCAUUUUGAACAUCAUAGCAGUUGGAUUGCUCAGUGAAGGUGCCAACACCUUUGGGUGAUCUCAGGUUGUUGGAUGCAUCCACUAUCUGAAUGUUUCUGAAGUAGCUCGACUUGCCGAAGCCUUCCUCAGGGAAGUGGCCACUGCCCAUCUGGGUCGAGGUGUGCUCGCCGUCCGGUUCCGAGUUCACCACCUCGCCGCCCCACUCUAUCAUGGAGGCACUGUCUGCCAAGUAGGAGAACAAGAAAGAAGGCCAGUAGCCCAGCACAUAGUCAUUCCCAAAUUGCAUCCACCAGUUCCCUUCUUUUGGAUCCUGAUUUAAAAAAAAUAAUAAUAAUAAUAAUGAAGACAAGAAAACAAACUUAUUGUUACAUCCUUCGGGUUUCCGAGAAGUUUCUAAUGCUGGUAAAGUUCAAAUACUACUUUGGUGUUUUUCACGAUUUCACUUCACUAUACUGCGGUUUCAUCCCCGAGAUUAUUACAUUAUGCCGCAACAAGAAUCUCCCGCUAACGGUAGGUUUGAAAUGGCAUGAACAAAUCAUUGUUCUACGUUUUGUCCAUAUGUAUCUUGAGUUGAUCUAUAACUCCACAUGCUAAUUUUUAUAGACUUUUUACGGGAGGGUAACUAUAAGUGGAACGAGUAAAACCACAGGAUAGUGAAGUAUAAGCGCGAGAAACCAAAAGCUUACUUUAACUUCAGGGACAUAAACACGCAAAAGAUGCGUAUAUCUAUCGACCGAUAAUAUGCAUGCACAAAAGUUGAAUGAAUAAAUUACACUUUUGUGUGAGUUGAUGUGCAUGAGAAAGAACCAAGGAACAGGUGGCAGAGAUUCUCUGCUAAUUUUACUGCAUUUGUUUAUGUAACUUGCAUGCAUGUGAGGUGAGGGUUGAGUUCUUUUUUUCUUUUUUUUUUUUACCUUCCAGACCAAAAUACUGAUAUCAUACUGGGGACCACCAUAGCCAGAGAUGGGGUAGAUGCUGGCACCCAUUGCAAUCUCACUGUUAAUUUGGAUGAAUCCAGAACACAGUAAGUUGUAGCACCCUGUUGCUUGAUAUGCAUCACUCUACAAUUCACCACAACAAGCAACAUUAAGAAGCCCAUUUUUUGAUAUCCAAAGCUUUUUUUUAAAAAAGAAAAAAAAAAAAAAGAAAAAUCUAGUAGGAACACCAACAACUACAGUAUCUCAUCAUCAACACUCAAACACACAAGCAUAGUUCAAUCAAUUAGUAGUAGGGGGAAUAGGAUGGGAUUUAACUUACAGUCCAAUAAGUGAAUAGCCUUGUGUUGUUAUCCCCAUAGAGAUCUGGGCUAACCUGAUGAUCACAAAAAUCUCAUCAGCACAUUGCCUGCCUGACAUAAUAAAUGACAAGAACUGAACCUCACAAUGUAUUUAGUCAAAAAGGAUUGAACAAAGCAAACAAGAACAAAUAAAUUCACCUGCCACCCUGCUUCAAUACUAUUGAGGUCCUCUCCAAAUGAACCACCUAAGAUCCAAAGCUGAGAGAGGCUAAACUCAUUUGGUUGCUGUAUCUUUGGUUCCCACACAUUUAUAGUUGCUUUUGCCCCAUAAUACUUAUCCCCCUCCACAUAUGCAAUUGCAUGCUGCUCUCCCCACAAUUACAACUUUUAGUGAGAGCAAAAUGGGCUAAAAAUGAGACCUUUGAUGCAAGAAAGAUAUCCAUAUAUAUAUGUAUAUAUAUGUACCUGAUGGCCACUCUCAUUGAGGAGGUCAGGGUCAACAGAGAGAGGGUUUGGGAAGCUCUUGUGCUUCUUCCUCCCAUACUUCUUGACAGAGCUUGCUCUGAGCACAUCAUCCUUCUGGGUCCUCCUGAUGGGGAUGGUGUUCUCUGGGCACCUCCCAUUCUGGUGCCACAUCUGCAGCACUGGCCUGCUCUUCUCACCUGCUGAGACCUUGCUCUCAGCAUAGAGCCCCUCUGGGUGGAAGCUUGGCCUCAUCUGCAGCAAAUUUUGAAGCAAUGGUGGGUUCAAAAUGCUAAAGAGAAUGGAGAGAGAGAGAGAGAGAGAGAGAGAGAGAGAGAGAGGAACCUGGAUGGUAUGGUUCUGAAGGAAAGGGUGAUCAAAGGCUGGUUGAUGAGAGACAUGCACACAAUCUAUGAUAUCUCCAUCUGGGCUCUGUUUUUUUUUUUCAAAAUUUUUUUUUUGGUUAAAAAAGAAAGAGAGAGAAAAGAUUAGAGAGGCAAUUAGAGGAUGUUAGAAGUGAAAAUGACCAAAUAAUUUCAAGAAUGAGAUUAGAUUGGGACAUUUGAGGAGAUGGACUACAAGAAUUUAUUUUUUUUUCAUGGGAAGUAGAAGAACAGAGAAAUGCUACAAUGGUGAUUGAUGCUUCAAACUGCAAAUUUUGUCAAAAAAGGAAUCAAAUUAAACAAGAACAACUUUUACAAAAUAAAAGCAAACAACAUUACCAAAAGAAAAAAAAAAAAAAGCCAAUUUUUUCUGGGGGGGUUUGAAAGUGACAUUUAUAAAUGAAAAAAAGGGGUGUGCAGAUCAUAGAACACAAAAUGCUGUACUUUUAAAAAUGAGAAAAAAAAGGGGGGAAAUAUACCACAAAUUAGUAGAAAAUAGGGAAAAAGGUAACAUCUUUAUCACAAAGUCUUUUUUUCAAUUAAAGUUUUUUUUUAAAAAAACCUCUUUUUUCACAGCAUGAACAAAUGCUCAAAAGAAGCUACCAAAAAUCCUUUAAAAAACGUACUCAAAACAAAACAACACUUUUUAAAUCAAAAUAAACUUGAAAAAAAAAAAACCAAAAACCCAACAAUUAUUCCCCUCCCCCAAAAAAAAUUUAAAAAAGAGAGAGAGAGAGAGAGAAAACAAAAAAAAAAGGAUUCAAACCUGAAUGCUCUUUACGGCGGGUUUGUUGAGGCGCCUGAGGUGGCGAUGGACCUCCAAACGUUGCCUCGUCGUUCCCAACCUCGCCUCGGCGCGCGAUAAGAGGAUUAGGGCAAGGAAAAGCCCUAACAAGCCAUGGCUCACGCUAACGUGCGCCGUCGCCAUGGCGCCCCCCAACCCCCCCUCCCCGCUUCACCCCCUCCCUCUUCUUCGAAAUCCCUCGAAACCCAACUAUUUUCCCCUCAAAAAAAAAAAAAAACCGAGAAAAACCCCUCUUUUCCCCCCUCCGCCCCCCUCGAAAAGCGACCGUUGGGGUGUAGAAUGGGAACAGAAUGUGUAGAGAGAGAGAGAGCACUUCGCCGUUGCGGGUUUUUUUUUUUUUUUUUUUUUUUUUUUUUNUUUUUUUUUUUUUUUUUUUUUUUUUUCUCUCCACUGUUUUCGAGCGAGGUGGUGGAGUUAAUGCUUUAGUGGGGGGAGGGAAAGGCGAAGGGGGAAGGGGGUGGGUGAAAUGACCAAAAUGCCCCUGGUGGGGGGAAGCUUGGAAGGGCUCUGACGCGAGUGGUGACUCGUGCCGGGGCCACACGUGAGUAGUGGUGGUGGGGAGGGUGACGCUCGGCACGUGUGCGGAAGCAUUGGAUUCGAAAAUGGCAAAAUUGCACACUUGUCCCUCCACUUUUACUUCCUAGUCAGCAUAUCCCGUAGCAACUAGCAAAUAAUACUUGUGUGCCACAUGAAAAGUGUAAUUUAUUAGAUAUUAGAAUUUUUCUUUACCUGAUUAUUGCAAAUAAAUAGUUUAAUAUUUACUCCUUGAGAGGUUUUCGCAUUCAAGAUUGGCAGCAUUUUAUAUUUUAUUUACGAGAUGAUUUUCUCUUAUUCCUGAAAAAUAGUUUUACAGUAGAAUAUAAUAUUUUGUUCUAAAUUUUUAAUGAGCUUUUUCACCUUUAUUAGAGUUUACAAAAAUAGUUAGAAAAUAACUAUUUUUUGUGCAACAAAGGAUGGUUUUCAUGGGCUUUUACCUUAUGUUUUAUUUAGGUUUUCAAAUUUUUAGUUUUUAUAAUUAACUUUCUUAUCUCUAACAUUUAUUUAAAUUUUUUCUACCGUUAAAACCUUCAUUAAUUUGAGUUGAAAUUGCCAAGUCCGUGCUAAAAUGAAGUUUAUCAUAUCAGCAUUAAAUUUUACCGUGCAGUAAUCUUUCAUAUCAUAUAUAUAUAUAUAUAUAGAGUGAGGCUACUAUACUAUCGGAAGCACGGAGCCUUCCGUGCUUCCAGCUCAUUUUCGAUGUUGCGACUUUUGAAUCGUCGAUCGGCUCCGUUAAACUUGAUCUAAAGUAUUUGAAGUACCUAGAAAAUAAAUUUUAUGAUUUUACGAUAUCAUUUGCCUAGUGAACGAAGGGGCUCAAAAUCAACGGCUGAAUAUAUAUAUAUAUAUAUAUAUAUAUAUAUAUAUAUAUAUAGUUCGGCUAUGGUACUUGUAAAAGCACAAACAUUUGGUACUUGUAAGUUUUUUAAUGAUAGCAUAUAUAGAAUUGAGCUAGAAUACUAUCGAUAGCAAACGGGCUCCGUUGCCACCCAUUUGUUUUCGAUGAUGGAGCCUCCAAAUCGACGAUCGGCGCCGUUAAACAUGAUCUAUAUCACUUGAAGUGUUUAGAAAUCAAAUUUUAUACAUUUUUGAUAUUAUUCUCUUAUCCAUCAAGUGGACACAAAAAUGAACGGCUAAAAAUGAAUAUUCUUUAAAAAAUGAUGAUAGGAGUCUUGUAAUCAAGAUCAAGAGUAUAGAUCUUGUUUUAAAUAGUUUAAAGAAUUUUCUAACAAAAAUUCAAUUGAUUUGGAUAUUUUUACGCCAUUAAAUGAGAAAACGCCUCAUAUCGACCAUUAAAAUUACAAAUUUUGAAACUCUUUGAUCGUUAGGUAAAUAAUGUCGAAAAGAUUUGAAAUUUAAUUUCUAAACACUUUAAGUAGUAUAAAUCAUGUUCAACAGUGCCGAUCGUCGAUUUGGAGACUCUAUCAUCGAAAACAAAUGGGUGGCAACGGAGGCUGUUUGCUAUCGAUAGUAUACUAGCUCAACUCUAUAUAUAUAUAUAUAUAUAUAUAUAGAGAGAGAGAGAGAGAGAGAGAGAGAGAGUUGGACUGGACUGCUAUUAGUAGCAAAAUCUCAUUGUUGUUACCAGUGUUUUUGCCUUUGGAUCAACUCUUUUCAUUAUUUCUAAAUAUUGGAUUAAAUACUAUAACCCAGUGGGGACCACUCAACCCUAGGGGGGCCACUCAACUCUAACCGACUAAUAUCAUCCUGAUCCUACAAUUUUUCAUCCAAGGAUUAAAAAUUUGAUAGCAAAAAGAACGUUUUACUAUUAAUAGUAUUCCAGCCUAAUUCUAUAUAUAUAUAUAUAUAGAGAGAGAGAGAGAGAGAGAGAGAGUUGGACUGGGCUACUAUUAGUAGCAAAAUUCUAUUGUUGUUACCAGUUUUUUAGCCUUUGAAUCAACUUUUUUCAUCAUUUCUAACCAUUGGAUUAAAUACUAUAACCCAGUGGGGACCACUCAACCCUAGGGGGACCACUCAACUCUAACUGACUAAUAACUCUACAAUUUUUCAUCCAAGAGUUAAAAACUUGAUAGCAAAAAGAGCAUUUUACUACCAAUAGUAUUCCAGCCUAAUUCUAUAUAUAUAUAUAUAUAUAUAUAUAUANUAUAUAUAUAUAUAUAUAUAUAUAUAUAUAUAUAUAUAUAUAUAUAUAUAUAUAUAUAUAUAUAUAUGAAUGCAAACGGGGCGGGAGGGUUCCCUCGCCUCCCGCUUUAUUUUUUGUUGGGGUGGGGUGGAUUAGAAGCGGAUUAUUUUUUAUUUUAUUUUUGACUCCCACUUUCGCCUCAUUUGGGGCGAUCGAACGGAAGUAAAUUUUUGGCGAAUUUUUUAUGCAUCGGGGCGGAUUUAAGAAAGAAAAGGGUCUCCUGCCUCCCGCUCUAUUUACUUAGCGGAUCGAGACAGAAUCAGAGCGUGUUAUUUUUUUUGUUUCCACUUACCGUCUCAUUUGAGGCAGAUCGGAGUGGGAGCUCUACCAACACGGAUACAUUUGCAUUCCUAUAUGUAUAACUAAAAUAAAUAAUAAUAGUUAAUUAUUUUAUUAAAAUAAUUUAAAAAUUAAAAUAAAAAAUUGAAAUAAGUUGGCAACCAGGUGUAAGUAACAAACACAAAUAUUGUGUUUCCAAGAACUUAAUAUCAAAUAUUCUAGUGGUUAAUUUAGUGACUUGUAUAUGGUUAGAUUUGUCUACAAAUCUACAUAUAUAUGAUUAUGAUUAAAGUGUAAGUGGCUCAAUUUUAUUGUGAAGUUCAAGGCCAUCAAGAGAUUCAAAGACCAAAUCAUCCUCGAAUAAAACACUAAAAAUAGUGAUAGGACACAUUGGCCUAAUCAAUCAAAAAUUUGAUCCAUUUGAUUGGUUAUUGGUCAACAUUAGUUAUUAUUUUUAAUUUCAAUUUUAAAAUUUUUUACAAUUUUGUAGAUUUGCAUCAUGUCCAAUGGAUUUCUCCAUUAAACUUCUCUUACAAAAAACACUUUUUUUUUUUUGAAAUAGUGUUACUAAUAGAGUUAAUUUUACUGUAAAUUCAAAAUUAAUUAAAUGUGAUCAUUAUUUAAAUUUAGAGUCUGUUUGGUUCGACGUAAGACUAUGAAAAAUAAUGGGUUUUCUGAGAAAUUUUUUUUUACCCUCUUUAAUGUUUAAUUUGUAGAAAAAAAAAGUAAUUUUCCAACGAUACUUGUUUGGUUGAAAGAAAAAAUUUAAAUAAAAAUAAUUUUAUAUAUUUUUCUAUUAUAUAUUAUGUAUUAUUUAUAUAAAUAAUUACUAUAUUAUAUAUAUUAUAAUUAAUAUUUAUAUAUAUUAUUAUUAUCAUCAUUAUCAUCAUCAUCUUUAAGGUCUAUCAUUUUUAUAGAGGUUGAAUCCAUAGUAAGAAAAAGAAUUUUUGCAGAAAUUAUCAAAAUCAAAUAGUUGGCAAUAAUUAUAAUGAGUGAGGCUACUAUUCUAUCGGAAGCACGAAGCCUUCCGUGCUUCCAGCUCGUUUUCGAUGUUGCGACUUUCGAAUUAUCGAUCGGCUCCGUUAAACUUGAUCUAGAGUAUUUGAAGUACUUAGAAAAUAAAUUUUAUGAUUUUACGAUAUCAUUUGCCUACUGAACGAAGGGCUCAAAAUCAACGGCUGAAAAUAAAAAUCUUACAAAAUGUAAUAAUAUGAUAUUAAAAUUUUAAAUCAAAGAUAUUGAUCUUGUUUUAUAUAGUAUAAAGAAUUUUCUAUCAAAAUUUCACGUGAUUUGGAUAUUUCUAUACCGUUAAACUUGCAAACGGCUCACUACGGCCAUUGAAAUUUGUUGAUUUUGAGCUCAUUCGAUCACUAGGCAAAUGAUAUCGAAAAAUAAUAAAAUUUAUUUUCUAGGUACUCCAAAUACUCUAGAUCAAGUUUAACGAAGCUGAUCGAUCGAUUCCAAUAAGUCGCAACAUAGAAAAUGAGGUUAAGCACGAAGGCUCGCCGUGCUUCCGAUACGGUAUAGUAGGGCCUCAGCUCUAAAUUAUUAAUGUAUACUAUUAUCAUAAACUAAAUUAAUAAGUAUAUAUAUAUAUUAUAUAUUAAUAUAUAUUAUAUAGAGUCCGGCUGCUAUGCUAUCGAUAGCACCAAGUAGUUGGUGCUAUCAAGUUUUCUGCCGUUAGAUUAACCCCUUUGAUUAUUUUUACCCGUUAGAUUAUACUAUUCAACCAACCACCCACUCAACCCUAGGGGGCCCACAUCAUCCUAACCGCACAUCACUUAAUCCAAUGGCUAAAAACUUGGUAGCACCAAUGACUUGGUGCUAUUAAUAGCAUAGUAGCCUAGUUCUAUAUAUAUAUAUAUAUAUACAUAUAACAAAAUAUAUAAUAAUUUAUAUUUAUAACAUAAUAUAUAAUGAGUUGAGCUAGAAUACUAUCGGUAGCAAACGGACUCCGUUGCCACCCAUUUGUUAUUAAUGAUGGAGCCUCCAAAUCGAUAAUCCGCACCGUUGAAUAUGAUCUAUAUCACUUGAAGUAUCUAGAAAUCAAAUUUUAUGCUUUUCUGAUAUUGUUCUCUUGUUCAUCAAGUGGGCGUAGAAAUGAACGGCUGAAAAUGAAUAUCCUCUAAAAGGUGAUGAUAGGAAUUUUGUAAUUAAGAUCGAGAGUAUAGAUCUUAUUCUAAAUAGUUUAAAGAAUUUUCUAACCAAAAUUCAAUUGAUUUGGAUAGCUUUACACCGUUAAACAAGAAAACGUCUCAUAUCUACCAUUAAAAUUACAAAUUUUGAAACCCUUCGAUCAAUAGGUCAAUAAUGUCGAAAAGAUUUGAAAUUUGGUUUCUAGAUACUUCAAGUGAUAUAGAUUAUGUUCAACGGUGUCGAUUGUCAAUUUAAAGGCUCCAUCAUCGAAAACAAAUGGGUGGCAACGGAGCCGGUUUGCUACCGAUAGCAUUCCAGCUCAACUCAAAAUAUAAUAACACAUAUAUAAUAUAUAAAUAAAUAUUUAUAAAUAAAAUAUUAUAUAAUAGCAUAUUAGUACAACGAGACAGAGAGGGUAAUUGAGAGAGUUUUCAGUUUUCGCCGAAAAAUAAUAAAAAAAUAAAAAUAUUAUUAUUUUUAAAUUCGUUAAAUUAUUUUUACAGAGAAAUUAUUUUACAUAGAACUAAACAAGCAAAAAGUAUUUUUCAUACGAAAGCAAUUUUUCAGUUCGUUUUUACGUCAAACCAAACACCUCCUUAACUAAAUGCUAAUAAAUCUGAUCGAUUAAUGCCACUUUAUUUGUGAAAAUAGGGCCUCAGAGCCGGCCAGCUAAACUUUGUCCAAUUGCCAAUUCACAAUUUAAACUUUAAUUUUAUUAACUUGGCUAGAUAUCAUUAGUCCUAUGAUCACGCGUGAGUUAAUUUUGAGUAAAAAUGAUCAUCUUAUUAAUUCAUGUGUUUUAGCUACAUGGUUAAUUUUUAGGAAUAAUUGCCUAUGAACCCUUCAAAAUUUCGAAAAUAUCUUAUUUAUUUUUACUUUUUUUCUUUCCAAUAUAUAUCCCUUAUAUGUUUCGCCGUUAUUUCAAAACACCCCUGUAAUUACCACCCGUUAAGUUAACUUGAAUUAAACGUGAGCUAAACAUUUAUCAGAGUUUAAAAAAUAUCAAAAUGUCUAUUUUGCUUUUAACUUAAGGGCAAAUAAGAAAUAUUGGUGUUGGUAGAAGGACAUAUUUAAAAAGACUAAAAAUCAAAACAUUUUUUGUGCUCCUACGAAUAAGAAAAAUAGGUGAUGGUAAAAAGUAUAUUUGAAAGGGUAAAAUAGUAAUUUUAUAGAGAUAAUAGUUAUCGCUAACCGUUCAUUAAAAUAAUUUAACUCUAGUUAAAAUAAGUGGGAACGUAAAAAGAGUAUUUCCAAUAUAGCAUUCUAAAAAGGGUAAAUCAGAAAGUCGAAAACUUUUCAGGUUGGAAUGUAAAAAAGAGUAUUUUCAAUAUUAGCCUUCUAAAAAGAGUAAAUCAGAAAGUCGAAAACUGGAAUAUAUAAGCAAUUGUCUCUAUUUUUUUUUUUGAGAGAAAAAUAGCAUGCUACCGGUUUUGUUUAUUUUAUUUAGAAAUAAACUUAGCUGAAAAUGUAAAUCAACUAGGAUUCGAACUUGGGUCUCGAAUACCAACCACCAAACUCUUUUGCUACUUGUGCUAGGGACGGUCGGUAAUUACCCCUAAUAUUUAAAGAGUAAUGCUUCUAUACUUUUUUUUAUUUGGUUACCGUUCAUUCACGCGUAUUCAACGACUCAGAUUUAGUUUUUUAAAAAUUGUAACCUGCAAUAGCAGGUUACUUUGGAAGAGGUACCGGUUACUAGGUACCUCAAAAAAGAAUAUUUUUGUCUUUUAAUACAUGGGCAAUUUAGUCAUUUUACAUCUACUAUAUUUUCAAAAUUUUUAUUUUUUCUUUGUUUCCUUUUUCUCUCUUUAUCUUUCCUUUCAUAAUUUGGCAUUUCGAAAAAUUUCAAAUGAUUUGACAAUAUAUCAUUAAAUUUAAACUUUAAAUAGUAAUAUGAAAUUCCUCUAAUUUAAAUUUCAUAUAAAUACUUUGAAAUAUGGUAAACAGAAAUAAUUGUUUGAAUUCUAGUCUUUUGGUUUAGGUUUGGUUUUGGGUUUCGAAAAAUUGGUCAGUUUUGAAUUUGGAUAUGGAUUUUUGAAAUACGUCGAGCUCGAAAAUAAGUUUUGUGAUUGUUAGUCAGAUUCGAAUUCAAGUUCCUAACUAUUUUUUUUUCUCACCAAUAAUUCUAAUCUUAUUAAUUUAUAUGUUUAAAAUUAUAUUUAAAAUAUUUAUUAGCUCUAACAGUUAAAUUAUCAUUUUGAUUAAAAUAUUUAUUAUCUUUACCGGUUCCAAAUUGUUCUUAAUGUUAUUCGGUUCAAUAGGUAAAAUCAGAUUCUUGAUAGAAUAGGUCAAAAUCUGAUCAGCCAAAUCAAUCGGUUCAAUCUAGUUUUUAAAUCAUUGAAUUUAAAAUUUAAAUAGUAAUAUGAAUUUCCUCUAGAGAAAUCUAGUUGUAGAAAUCUUUACUCUCUAAGUUUUUUAUGCAUUACGUUUUAAACUGGUGCGAAUAAACUGUAUUUUAAAUCUUGGUAGAAAUUGUCACGCCCCGGAUGUCUCGUUCCCCGGGCACGCCGACAAAUCCGCCGUAUACAAAAGAAUUUUUUCUGUAUACGAAGCGACAGCUGUACCUGUAAGUCAAACACUACUACGAACAGUAGUAGAGAGCUGCUAGAGAAAACAGAAGCUAAACAAACUGAGUUUCAUAUACAUAGUUUGAAUCCAAAAUACAGAGUUACUCGCACUGGCGAGUUAAGUCUACUAUGUACAUAAACUCGAAACAAAAUAUCUACCUGCAGUAGGGGUGCCUCUAGUUCUGCUCGUCGGGUAGGGCUCUAACUCGCGACGCCCUUGCCUCGAUCUGCCUCGGAAGGUGCAGCAGCCGAAACCUAUGGCUCUGCAAAACAUGGGUAACAAAUAGGGCGUGAGAACUACUGUAAAAACAAGUAGUCCUCAGUGGGUGCCGCCCAAAACAACAUCGGUCCACUCACUAAGUCUACAGAAGGGAGCAAGAAUAGUAGGAAAAUGCAGGAAAUAAACUCAACUGCUACAAAUCACUACACUAUCAUGCUCUACACUAAUCAACUGUAGGAAAUGUCAAAUCUGACCCAAUCCAAUCGGGACUGUAAACAUACCUGUCCCGGGGACUGUGAAUACACCCGUCCCUGCCCAGUGUGACUAUCCAGCUACCUCCACACUAACUGGUCCGUGGAGAGCAAGUCCAACCGGCAUGAGCGACACCAAUGCGAAAGCACAAAGCCCGUCUCCGGAGUGGCACUCGUGGGCGCUACCCAACCGAGUAUGCAGCGUAUCUCUGUCGAGCUCAAUCAGGCUCUGUCAAGCCAAAGUCCAAGUAACCGACUCAAACUGGUCUAACAACGAAUAGGUAACGUGCCCUCGGCACAAUCUGACGCCAACACAGGCGAUACGGGUCCACCGUCAAUCCCGACGGCACCCAACGGUCCGGAACAGCCUAAACGCUAUUCUAAAAAUAUACUCGGCAUACCAGCACGAGUGUAACAGAAAACUACACUACCUGGAAUACUCACUAUGACGAUACUGCAACAGUAUAAAAUAAUACAACGGCCCCUAGGGCUAAAUCAGAUAGUUAAAUAUAUGACGAUCAUAAUCGUGAGUUUUCUCAUAAGUCUUAUCCAAGUCCAACAUGUAGAAUUUAUCCAUAAUUAAAACCAUGCUCUACAUUCAUCUUUGCUAGCAAAAUGUGAAGCAUCUAUGAAUUAGAGCUAAAGUACAAGUACGAAAAACCCGAAAUAUACAUGUCGACCCACGAGACUAAAGGAGUAGAAAUCCGAUGAAAACCCACCUCGAUCGCUAAACCCCGGCAGGGAGGAGGUCACCAAAAAUCUCCAAAUCCACUGGAAAAAAAACCAAGGUGUCCAGCUCAAGUUCGAAAUCGCCCUGCACACAUCGCAACGAAGAACUCCAACUCAAAUUCUGUCCGAAACACAGCAGCAGAGGAGAACAUAAUUUCGACCUAGCUAACCUUCACCAAAUCCAGAAACUAAGGGUUUCGUGGAUUCCUCUCGAAGUCCUGAAUCCAACGAACCAAGUCCCGUCGAAAUCCGACGCUCCUACACCGAGUACGAGCCGAAGCGCCAACGGUCGACGCUGGAAAUCUGCAGGGACAGCACCUAGCUCGAAUUUGAAGAAGCUUGGAAAUAAAGAAGCAAUUUGACGGCACACCCACCUCGACAGCGACCCUAGUAUCUGUGCGACGUCGAGGACGGCGAUAACACACCCUCGAUCGGCCUCCUCGCGAUGCUACGGCGACAAACGUAGGCUCGAACGGCUCGGCGACGCGACAUCGACGGCGAAUCCGAGCUUCGCGGCUACCUCUACGCGGCUCCUCCGCUUCGGCUCUCCACUCCACACGAAAGAGAGAAAGAAAAAUAUAAUUAGAGAGGUGUAGGCUGCAUCUCUCAAUUAAUUGAAUGGAUAACCAUGCAUGGGGGCACGUGGCAUCCACACACACACACAUAUAUAUAUAAAGGAUACUACAUCCUCCCCCACUACAACAAGUUUCGUUCUCGAAACUAAAACGUACCUCAGCUCAGGCAUCAAACAGAUAGGGAUAGGCCUCCCUCAUCACCAUCUCAGGCUCCCAAGUCGCCUCCCGCUCCUCGUGAUUGCUCCACUGCACUUUCACAUACGGGAUGACUCGGUUGCGCAAUUCUUUCGUCUCCCGAGCAAGAAUCUGCAACGGUCGCUCUUCGUAUCUCAGAUCCUCGCCAAUCUCUAGUGGAGUGAAGUCGAUUACGUGAGAAUGAUCGAAAACGUAUCUCCUAAAUGCUGAGACUUGAAAAACAUCGUGUAUGCCAGCAAGUCGCGGGGGUAGAGCUAUCCUGUAUGCAAUCGGUCCGAUACGCUCCAAUACCUCGAAAGGGCCAACAAACCGUGGACUAAGCUUUCCACGUACUCCAAAUCGACGUAUCCCUCUGGAUGGCGAGACUUUGAGGAAAACAUGAUCUCCAACCUGAAACUCCAAAUCUCGUCUCCUGGUAUCGGCGUAGCUCCUCUGGCGGCUCUGAGCUGUCAAAAGGUGUCGUCGAACGAUUCUCACCUUUUCCUCAGCCUCAAGUAGAAUCUCUGGUCCAAGUGUCCUCCUCUCACCCACAUCACUCCAAAAUAGAGGGGAACGACAUCUACGUCCAUACAACGCCUCAAACGGAGCCAUCUGGAUGCUCGUUUGAUAGCUCUAGAGUCUGUAUGGUCCGCUCUGACUGACCAUCUGUCUGUGGGUGGAACGCCGUACUAAAAUGUAGCUGAGUGCCCAAGGCUGUCUGAAGACUCCUCCAAAAUUAGGAUACAAACCUCAGGUCUCUGUCUGACACAAUCGACACUGGCACGCCGUGCAGCCUGACGAUCUCAUCCAAGUAUAGCUGCGCGAGUCUCUCUCUGGACCAGGUAGUCUGAACCGGUAGGAAGUGAGCAGACUUGGUCAGUCUGUCCACUAUCACCCAAAUCGCGUCGUAGCCACCCUGCGCUCUAGGCAAUCCAACGACGAAGUCCAUCGUGAUGUACUCCCACUUCCACUCUGGCACUGGCAGACUCUGAAGCUUGCCAGUAGGUACCUGAUGCUCGACCUUUACCUGUUGGCAAGUCAAACACUGAGCCACAUAUCUGCCAAUUUUCCUCUUCAUUCCAUGCCACCAGAACUGUGCCUUUAGAUCCUUAUACAUCUUGGUUCCCCCAGGGUGAACCGUAUAAGGUGAACAAUGAGCCUCUCUCAGAAUGUCUGCUCGAAUCUCUGAAUCCACAGGCACACAUAGUCGGUCCCUGUACCGUAGUACUCCCGAACUGUCCACAGCAAAACCCUCAGCCUGCCCCUGAUCUAGCUGCUCUUGAAUCCUCGACAAGUAGGGAUCUCCACUUUAUUUCUCUCGGAUCCUAUCCAACAGAGUGGGCUGCACAACCAAAGACAACAGUCUCGCAGUAGAUCCAGGGGGUACUACCUCAAGUCCCAGUCGCUGUAGCUCCUCGAAUAAGGGUCUAUGCUCAGUGAUCAUCAAACUCAGGCUCUGCACUGACUUCCUGCUCAACGCAUCUGCCACCACAUUCGCCCUGCCGGGAUAAUACUGAAUACUAAUGUCAUAGUCCUUCAGUAACUCCAACCACCGGCGCUGCCUCAGGUUCAACUCUCUCUGGGUGAACAGAUACUUGAGACUUUUAUGAUCAGUGAAAACCUCGCAGUGCUCGCCGUACAAGUAAUGGCGCCAGAGCUUCAAAGCAAAAACCACCGCGGCAAGCUCCAAGUCAUGCGUAGGGUAAUUCUUCUCAUAAUCCUUUAACUGCCGUGAAGUAUAGGCAAUCACCCUACCAUGCUGCAUCAGCACGCAACCAAGUCCACUGUGCGAUGCAUCACUAUAGAUCACGAAUCCUUCUCCCAUCACAGGAAGGGCAAGAAUAGGAGUUGACGUCAACCUCAGUCUCAACUCAUCAAAGCUCCUCUAACAAUCCUCACUCCAGACAAAACGAAUCCCCUUCCGCGUCAAGCGGGUGAGGGGUGUGAAAAGCUUCGCAAAGCCUUCCACAAACUGACGGUAAUAUCCUGCCAGUCCCAGGAAGCUCCGUACCUCAGUCACCGUCGCCGGUCUAGGCCAAUCUCGAAUCGCCUCAAUCUUCUUCGGGUCCACUGCUACUUUCUCCGCAGAAAUCACGUGGCCCAAGAAAGCAACCUCCCGUAACCAGAACUCGCACUUCUUUAACUUGGCAUACAACUUCUUUUCUCGCAGAAGUUGUAGCACAAUCCUCAAGUGCUCCUCAUGCUCGGUAUCACUCUGGGAGUAUAUCAAGAUAUCGUCGAUGAAGACUACCACAAACCUAUCCAAGAACGGCUUGAACACUCUGUUCAUCAAAUCAUGAAUACGGCAGGGACAUUCGUCAAUCCAAAAGGCAUCACCGUGAACUCAUAAUGCCCGUACCGAGUCCGAAAAGCCGUCUUGCGAACAUCCUCGGCCCUCACCCUCAACUGGUGGUAACCUGACUGGAGAUCAAUCUUCGAAAAGACAUAAGAUCCCCGCAGCUGAUCAAACAAAUCGUCAAUGCACGGCAAGGGAUACUUAUUCUUGAUGGUCACUUUAUUCAGCUCCCGGUAAUCCACGCACAGCCUAAGUGAACCAUCCUUCUUCUUCACAAACACCACCGGCGCUCCCCAAGGCGAAACACUGGGUCUCACAAACCCUCUAUCCAUCAAAUCCUGAAGCUGCGCCUUUAGCUCUCUCAGCUCUGCCGGCGCCAUCCGAUAAGGUACCUUCGAGAUUGGUGCAGUUCCAGGAACUACAUCAAUCACAAACUCAAUCUCCCUUUCCGGCGGCAACGUCGUCAACUCAGGGGGAAAUACAUCCGAAAACUCGCGGACUACUGGGAUGUCCUCGAGUCCCGGCGCCGCCGUAGGUACCUCCACAACUGUCGCUAGGAAAGCGAUACACCUACUGCUCAGUAUCUGUCGAGCCCUCGCCGAAGAUAUCCAGGUGGCAAACAACGUACUCCUGCAGCCUCUGAAAGUAAACUCCUCCUGGCCUGGCUCGCGGAAUGUCACCGUCCUCACUCCACAGUCGAUCAUAGCAUAGUACCGCGCCAGCCAAUCCAUACCGAGUACGACGUUGAAGUCCUGCAGCUGCCCUGACACCAACAGGUCUGCGGGCAUAAUCCACAAGUCUAGCUGCACCGGACAUGACCAACAACACUCCACAACCUGCAAAACAUGGUCUGGGAUCUGCACCUCUCGUGCCUGAGACAACGGUCCUAACUCUAGACCAUGUAACUGUGCAAAUGCUCGGCUAACAAAGGAAUGCGAUGCACCGGUAUCAAAAAGAGUACGAACUCUAAUGCCAGAAAUCAAAGUGAUACCUGCCACUACUCGGUCGGCUGCUGUAGAGUCNAGAGCUUAGCUGUAGGUCAUUGGGACCUAGAAAACCUAAGUUGGCAAACCUUAGGAAGGCAAGACGCGAGAGGCGCGAUUUAUCGCGAAAGUCAAUGAUUAAUUGUUCUAACUCCUCCUCGAGCGGAGUGAGUGACUGAAGGAGUUCCUGUUUUGGCCUGCGAAAUUAUGUUGGCUGCAGACGACAUAAUUUUGGGGGAAAACAGGGGCCGCCUUCCAGACUUUCGUUGAUUGGGUCGAGAGUGUUUGUUGUAUCUGACCCCGAUUUGUUCCUCUCAGCUAUGUAUCGUCGCCGAGGCCGACCGUCGUUGCGGGAUCGUGCUCAGAUGACCCAGGAUCGUGCGAGACCUUCCGAGGUACCCGAGCAGGUGGAGCCGAGUGCCCAACAGGAGCACAUCACUAGACCGGAGACGAGUGCAUCCCCGAAUUUGAGUGCACAGUUAGCCGCCCUGACCGAGGUGACUAGGCGACAGGGAGAAGUUGUUCGAGGAUCUUUACAUUCCAGAGAGGGAGCAGGUACCCUUUGGAGUCCAUUGCUUGGCAGGCGAUGCUCAUGAUUGGUGGAGGAGAGUGCGACGAGAUCUUGGACUGGUAGCUUCCCAGAUGAGAUGGGAUGAGUUCUGUGGAAUGCUGUUCGGGAUGUAUUUUCCCAACAGCAUGAAACAGAAGCUCGAGGAGGAUUUGAGGAGGAUCCAGCAGGGUGAUCGUCAAGUGCAGGAGUAUAUUCGGGAGUUCACUCGACUCCUGAACUGUGUGCCAUUUGUGGCCAGGGAUGAGGCACAUAGGGUUUACAUGUUCGAGCAGGGGCUGAGACCAGAUAUCUUCAGGUUGGUGCGGGCGCAGAGGUCGAGGACCUUGGAUGCGUCCAUGGAGUAGGCCUUGUGGGUGGAGAGAGGUGAGUUGUCACUUCAGGAGAGGACUCAGGCCGUGGGGCAGAGUCAGGAGAGGAAGCGCCCCUUUCCAGAGGAUGGAGGACAGUCGAGUAGCAGACGUCCGCCGAGGCCUCCACGAUCACGCUCUCAGGGUCGUGGGUCUUCGGGGCGUCAGCGUUCUAGGGGAUCCCGUCAGCAGGGACAGACUUAGAGGACACCGCAGUGUGUGAUAUGCGGGGGACCACACUGGCCCCGGCAGUGCGAGCAGAGAGAGGGCAUGUGCUACAGGUGUGGUCAGCCGGGACACAUGAGGGCAGCUUGUUCCCGAGCAGCAUCUCCAGCACCAUCAUCAGCUUCAGCCCCACCAGCACCCCAGCAGUCUUACGGAGCAGCUCCGAGUUUCCGCCAGGAGGACAGAUCAUCUGUGCCGCAUCAGGCUGAGCGGCGACAGCAGACUCCGAGUGGCAGAGUCUAUGCAGCUCAGGUGGAAGACUCUACAGUAGCUGACCGAGUGGUGGCAGGUAUCACUUUGAUUUCAGGCAUUCGUACUCGUACUCUUUUUGAUACCGGUGCCUCGCAUUCUUUUGUUAGCCGAGCAUUUGCAUUAUUGCAUGGUCUAGAGUUAGGAAUUUUGGCGUAGGCACGAGAGGUGCAGAUCCCGGACCAUAUUUUACAGGUUGCAGAGUGUUAUUGGUCUUGUCCGGUGCAGCUAGAUUCAUGGAUUAUGCCCGCAAACUUGUUAGUGUUAGGGCAGCUGCAGGACUUCGACGUUGUACUCGGUAUGGAUUUGCUGGCGCAAUAUUAUGCUACGAUUGACUGUGGAGCGAGGACGGUGACGUUCCGCGAGCCAGGCUAGGAGGAGUUCACUUUCAGAGGAUGCAGGAGCACGUUGUUUGCUACGUGGAUAUCUUCGGCGAGGGCUCGACAGAUGCUGAGUAGUGGGUGUAUCGCUUUNGUACGAACUCUAAUGCCAGAAAUCAAAGUGAUACCUGCCACUACUCGGUCGGCUGCUGUAGAGUCCUCCACCUGAGCUGCAUAGACCCUGCCACUCGGAGCCUGCUGUCGCCGCUCACCCGACCACGGCACAGACGAUCUGUCCUCCUGGCGGUAACUCGGUGUUACUCCGUAAGACUGCUGUGGUGCUGGUGGUGCUGAAGCUGAUGACGGUGCUGGAGAUGCUGCUCGGGGACAAGCUGCCCUCAUGUGUCCCGGCUCACCACAUCCGUAGCACCUGCCCUCUUUCUGCUGGCACUGCCGGGGCCAGUGUGGUCUCCCGCAGAUCACACACUGUGGCGUCCUUUAAGUCUGCCCCUGCUGACGGGAUCCCCUGGAACGCUGAUGCCCCGAAGACCCACGACUCUGAUAGCGUGAUCAUGGAGGCCUUGGUGGACGUCUGCUGCUCGACUAUCCUCCAUCAUCUGGAAAGGGGCGCUUCCUGUCCUGACCUUGCCCCACGGCCUGAGUCUUCUCCUGCAGCGACACCUCACCUCUCUCCACCCAUAGGGCCUGCUCUAUGGACGCAUCCAGGGUUCUCGACCUCUGCGCACGUGCAAACCUGAAGAUAUCUGGUCUCAGCCCUUGCUCGAACAUGUACACCCUGUGCGCCUCAUCUCUGGCCACAAAUGGCACACAGUUCAGGAGUCGAGUAAACUCCCGAACGUACUCCUGCACUGGGCGAUCUCCCUGCUGAAGCCUCCUCAAAUCCUCCUCGACUUUCUGCUUCACACUAUUGGGAAAGAACAUCCCAAAUAGCAUUCCACAGAACUCAUCCCAGUCAUGAGCAUCACCUGCUAAACAGUGUACUCCCAGAGGUACCUGCUCCCCCUCCGGAAUGAACAGAUCCUCAAAUAGCUUCUCCAUCGCACUGACCCAUCCCUCAACAACUCAGGCCUCAGUGCAUCUGUCAUCGAAAAUCGGUGGAUCAAAUCGGCGAAAACGAGCUAGCCUCUCCGUCCACCGCUCCUGCUCAGCCUCUGUCAACUGUACAGGCCCCCUAGCAGGCGCAACUGGCGCUACUAGCAUUGCUGCUGGCGGAGGAACUGCCGAAGCUGGUACCGUCACUGGGGUAGUCGGAGGUGGAACAGACGACUCAGGUGCCCUCGGUGCAGAACUCUGGGGCGAAACUAGCCUCUCGCACAUUCUCAACAACAACUCCCCCUGUCGCCUCGUCACCUCUGUCAGGGCGGCUAACUGUGCACUCAAAUCGGGGGAUGCACUCGCCUCUGGUCGGGCUCUCUGCUCUACAACUGGGGGUGCAGUCACCUCUGGUGGUGCAUUCGGCUCUGCCUGCUCAGGCAUCUCGGGAGAUCUAGCACGAUCCUGCGCCAAUUGCGCAUGCUCGCGCAACGACGGUCGGCCUCGGCGACGAUACAUAGCUGAAAAGAACAUAUCGGGGUCAGUUGAAACAUAAACACUCUUGACUCAAUCAACGAAAGUCUGGAAGGCGGUCCCUAUUUCCCUCCAAAAUUAUGUCGUCUGCAGCCAACAUAAUUUCUCAGGCCAAAACAGGAACUCCUUCAGUCACUCACUCCACUCUAGGAGAAGUUAGAACAAAUAAUCAUUGACUUUCGCUAUAAAUUACGCCUCUCACGUCUUGCCUUCCUAAGGUUUGCCAAACUUAGGUUUCCUAGAUCCCAACGACCUACAGCAAAGCUCUGAUACCAACUUAAUCUGUCACGCCCCGGAUNUUCGAAGAUCGAUCUCCAGUCAGGUUACCACCAGUUGAGGGUGAGGGCCGAGGAUGUUCCCAAGACGGCUUUUCUUACUCGGUACCGGCAUUAUGAGUUUACGGUGAUGCCUUUUGGAUUGACGAAUGCCCCUGCCGCAUUCAUGGAUUUGAUGAACAGAGUGUUCAAGCCGUUCUUGGAUAAGUUUGUGGUAGUCUUCAUUGACGAUAUCUUGACUUACUCCCGGAGCGAUGCUGAGCAUGAGGAGCUUUGACGAGUUGAGACUGAGAUUGACGUCAGCUCCUAUUCUUGCCCUUCCGGUGAUGGGAGAAGAAUUCGUGAUCUACAGUGAUGCAUCGCACAGUGGACUUGGUUGUAUAUUGAUGCAGCAUGGUAGGGUAAUUGCUUAUGCUUCACGGCAGUUAAAGGAUUAUGAGAAGAAUUACCCUACGCAUGACUUGGAGCUUGCCGCGGUGGUUUUUGCGUUGAAGCUCUGGCGGCAUUACUUGUACGGCGAGCACUGUGAGGUUUUCACCAAUCAUAAAAGUCUCAAAUAUCUGUUCACACAGAGGGAGCUGAACCUGAGGCAGCGCCGGUGGUUGGAGUUACUGAAGGACUACGACAUUAGUAUUCAGUAUCAUCCCGGCAGGGCGAAUGUGGUGGCAUGUGCGUUGAGCAGGAAGGCAGUGCAGAGUCUGAGUUCGAUGAUCACACAGCAGAGACCCUUACUCGAGGAGCUACAGCGGCUGGGACUUGAGAUAGUACCCCCUGGGUCUACAGCGAGGCUGACGUCUCUAGUUUUGCAGCCCACUCUGUUGGAUAAGAUCCGAGAGAAACAGAGUGGAGAUCCCUACUUGUUGAGGAUUAGAAAGCAGUAAGACGGGGGGCAAGCUGAGGGUUUUGCUUUGGAUAGUUCGGGAGUACUACGGUACAGGGGCCGACUAUGUGUGCCUAUGGAUUCAGAGAUUCGAGUAGACAUUCUGAGAGAGGCUCAUUGUUCUCCUUAUACGGUUCACCCAGGAGGAACCAAGAUGUAUAAGGACUUAAAGGCACGGUUCUGGUGGCAUGGAAUGAAGAGGGACAUUGGCAGAUUUGUGGUUCAGUGUUUGACUUGCCAACAUGUGAAAGCUAAGCAUCAGGUGCCUGCUGGCAAACUUCAGAGUCUACCAGUGCCAGAGUGGAAAUGGGAGUACAUCACGAUGGAUUUCGUCGUUGGUUUGCCUAGAGCGCAGGGUGGCUAUGACGCGAUUUGGGUUAUAGUGGACAGACUGACCAAGUCUGCUCACUUCCUACCGGUUCAGACUAUUUGGUCCAGAGAGAGACUCGUGCAGCUAUAUCUGGAUGAGAUCGUUAGGCUACACGGCAUGCCAGUAUCGAUUGUGUCAGACAGAGACCCGAGGUUUGUAUCCCAGUUUUGGAGGAGCCUUCAGAUAGCCUUGGGCACUCAGCUGCAUUUCAGCAUGGCAUUCCACCCACAGACAGAUGGUCAGUCAGAGCGGACCAUUCAGACUCUAGAGGACAUGCUGAGGGCAUGCGUCCUGGAUUUUGGAGGAGGAUGGUAUCGACAUGUGAGACUGGUUGAGUUUGCGUACAACAACAGCUAUCAAGCGAGCAUCCAGAUGGUUCCGUUUGAGGCGUUGUAUGGACGCAGAUGUCGAUCCCCUCUGUUUUGGAGUGAUGUGGGUGAGAGGAGGAUAUUUGGACCGGAGAUCUUACUUGAGGCUGAGGAAAAGGUGAGAGUCGUUCAACGACACCUUUUGACCGCUCAGAGCCGCCAGAGGAGCUACGCCGAUACCAGGAGACGAGACUUAGAGUUUCAUGUUAGAGAUCAUGUUUUCCUUAAAGUCUCGCCGUUCAGAGGAUUCGCCGAUUUGGAGUACGUGGAAAGCUCAGUCCGCGUUUUGUUGGGCCCUUUGAGGUAUUGGAGCGUAUUGGACCGAUUGCUUACAGGAUAGCUCUACCCCCGCGACUUGCUGGCAUACACGAUGUUUUCCACAUCUCAGCAUUGAGGAGAUAUGUUUUCGAUCCCUCUCACGUGAUCGACUUCACUCCACUUGAGAUCGGCGAGGAUCUGAGAUACGAGGAGCGACCGUUGCGGAUUCUUGCUCGGGAGACGAAAGAAUUGUGCAAUCGGGUCAUCCCGUAUAUGAAAGUGCAGUGGAGCAAUCACGAGGAGCGGGAGGCGACUUGGGAGCCUGAGACGGUGAUGAGAGAGUCCUACCCCGACCUGUUCGUUACUCCGUGUUGAGGUAUGUUUAAGUUUCGAGGACGAAACUUUUUGUAGUGGGGGAGGAUGUAGUAUCCUUGUUUUAUUUAUUAAUUAAUUAACUUAUUUAUGUUUUAUGUCGGUUGGUGCAUGCAAAUUGGGGUGGCUUGGAUGCCACGUCCACCCAUGCAUGCAAAUUAGGGUGGCUUGGAUGCCACGUGCACCCUUUGCAUGCUCAUCAACAAAUUAGGUGGGCAUUGCCUAAUCUUUCUACUUCUCUCUUUGUUCAACCGAAGCAAAGAGCUCGGAGGAGGUAGCCGCGAGCACGAGUUCGACGNNNNNNNNNNNNNNNNNNNNNNNNNNNNNNNNNNNNNNNNNNNNNNNNNNNNNNNNNNNNNNNNNNNNNNNNNNNNNNNNNNNNNNNNNNNNNNNNNNNNNNNNNNNNNNNNNNNNNNNNNNNNNNNNNNNNNNNNNNNNNNNNNNNNNNNNNNNNNNNNNNNNNNNNNNNNNNNNNNNNNNNNNNNNNNNNNNNNNNNNNNNNNNNNNNNNNNNNNNNNNNNNNNNNNNNNNNNNNNNNNNNNNNNNNNNNNNNNNNNNNNNNNNNNNNNNNNNNNNNNNNNNNNNNNNNNNNNNNNNNNNNNNNNNNNNNNNNNNNNNNNNNNNNNNNNNNNNNNNNNNNNNNNNNNNNNNNNNNNNNNNNNNNNNNNNNNNNNNNNNNNNNNNNNNNNNNNNNNNNNNNNNNNNNNNNNNNNNNNNNNNNNNNNNNNNNNNNNNNNNNNNNNNNNNNNNNNNNNNNNNNNNNNNNNNNNNNNNNNNNNNNNNNNNNNNNNNNNNNNNNNNNNNNNNNNNNNNNNNNNNNNNNNNNNNNNNNNNNNNNNNNNNNNNNNNNNNNNNNNNNNNNNNNNNNNNNNNNNNNNNNNNNNNNNNNNNNNNNNNNNNNNNNNNNNNNNNNNNNNNNNNNNNNNNNNNNNNNNNNNNNNNNNNNNNNNNNNNNNNNNNNNNNNNNNNNNNNNNNNNNNNNNNNNNNNNNNNNNNNNNNNNNNNNNNNNNNNNNNNNNNNNNNNNNNNNNNNNNNNNNNNNNNNNNNNNNNNNNNNNNNNNNNNNNNNNNNNNNNNNNNNNNNNNNNNNNNNNNNNNNNNNNNNNNNNNNNNNNNNNNNNNNNNNNNNNNNNNNNNNNNNNNNNNNNNNNNNNNNNNNNNNNNNNNNNNNNNNNNNNNNNNNNNNNNNNNNNNNNNNNNNNNNNNNNNNNNNNNNNNNNNNNNNNNNNNNNNNNNNNNNNNNNNNNNNNNNNNNNNNNNNNNNNNNNNNNNNNNNNNNNNNNNNNNNNNNNNNNNNNNNNNNNNNNNNNNNNNNNNNNNNNNNNNNNNNNNNNNNNNNNNNNNNNNNNNNNNNNNNNNNNNNNNNNNNNNNNNNNNNNNNNNNNNNNNNNNNNNNNNNNNNNNNNNNNNNNNNNNNNNNNNNNNNNNNNNNNNNNNNNNNNNNNNNNNNNNNNNNNNNNNNNNNNNNNNNNNNNNNNNNNNNNNNNNNNNNNNNNNNNNNNNNNNNNNNNNNNNNNNNNNNNNNNNNNNNNNNNNNNNNNNNNNNNNNNNNNNNNNNNNNNNNNNNNNNNNNNNNNNNNNNNNNNNNNNNNNNNNNNNNNNNNNNNNNNNNNNNNNNNNNNNNNNNNNNNNNNNNNNNNNNNNNNNNNNNNNNNNNNNNNNNNNNNNNNNNNNNNNNNNNNNNNNNNNNNNNNNNNNNNNNNNNNNNNNNNNNNNNNNNNNNNNNNNNNNNNNNNNNNNNNNNNNNNNNNNNNNNNNNNNNNNNNNNNNNNNNNNNNNNNNNNNNNNNNNNNNNNNNNNNNNNNNNNNNNNNNNNNNNNNNNNNNNNNNNNNNNNNNNNNNNNNNNNNNNNNNNNNNNNNNNNNNNNNNNNNNNNNNNNNNNNNNNNNNNNNNNNNNNNNNNNNNNNNNNNNNNNNNNNNNNNNNNNNNNNNNNNNNNNNNNNNNNNNNNNNNNNNNNNNNNNNNNNNNNNNNNNNNNNNNNNNNNNNNNNNNNNNNNNNNNNNNNNNNNNNNNNNNNNNNNNNNNNNNNNNNNNNNNNNNNNNNNNNNNNNNNNNNNNNNNNNNNNNNNNNNNNNNNNNNNNNNNNNNNNNNNNNNNNNNNNNNNNNNNNNNNNNNNNNNNNNNNNNNNNNNNNNNNNNNNNNNNNNNNNNNNNNNNNNNNNNNNNNNNNNNNNNNNNNNNNNNNNNNNNNNNNNNNNNNNNNNNNNNNNNNNNNNNNNNNNNNNNNNNNNNNNNNNNNNNNNNNNNNNNNNNNNNNNNNNNNNNNNNNNNNNNNNNNNNNNNNNNNNNNNNNNNNNNNNNNNNNNNNNNNNNNNNNNNNNNNNNNNNNNNNNNNNNNNNNNNNNNNNNNNNNNNNNNNNNNNNNNNNNNNNNNNNNNNNNNNNNNNNNNNNNNNNNNNNNNNNNNNNNNNNNNNNNNNNNNNNNNNNNNNNNNNNNNNNNNNNNNNNNNNNNNNNNNNNNNNNNNNNNNNNNNNNNNNNNNNNNNNNNNNNNNNNNNNNNNNNNNNNNNNNNNNNNNNNNNNNNNNNNNNNNNNNNNNNNNNNNNNNNNNNNNNNNNNNNNNNNNNNNNNNNNNNNNNNNNNNNNNNNNNNNNNNNNNNNNNNNNNNNNNNNNNNNNNNNNNNNNNNNNNNNNNNNNNNNNNNNNNNNNNNNNNNNNNNNNNNNNNNNNNNNNNNNNNNNNNNNNNNNNNNNNNNNNNNNNNNNNNNNNNNNNNNNNNNNNNNNNNNNNNNNNNNNNNNNNNNNNNNNNNNNNNNNNNNNNNNNNNNNNNNNNNNNNNNNNNNNNNNNNNNNNNNNNNNNNNNNNNNNNNNNNNNNNNNNNNNNNNNNNNNNNNNNNNNNNNNNNNNNNNNNNNNNNNNNNNNNNNNNNNNNNNNNNNNNNNNNNNNNNNNNNNNNNNNNNNNNNNNNNNNNNNNNNNNNNNNNNNNNNNNNNNNNNNAUUAAUUUAUUAUGUUAUAAAUUUCUUUGAAAAUUAACUCGAGGAUUUAAAUACGUAAUUAAUCGUGAUUAAAUCUUUUAAUUAACUAAUUGGUUUAAAUACGUUAAAAAUCCGUCCAAACUAACCUUGAAUAAAAUAAUCCUUUUACCUGCUAAGUAUUAAAGUUACAUUUUUACCCUCUAUUAAUCAACGGUUAAGAUCUUUUUAAUUUUUUUUUAAAAAAAAGUACCGAAUCAUUUCUCAUAUUUAAAAAACCGAUAUCUUGCCGAUUUCAUGAAAUCAAAAGCUUUGCGGUACUGACCGUCCCUAGCGUAAGUGGCAAAAAGGCUUGGUGGUUGGUACUCGAGACCCAAAUUCGAAUCCUAGUUGAUUCAUAUUUUCAGCUGAGUUUAUUUUUAAAUGAAAUAAACGAAACGGGUAGCGAGCUUUGCCGUAGAGUUCCAAAGAAUCGUCAUUUACAUAAUAAGUUAGAAUUAUUAAAGUUUAAUAGUAAAUUGUAAAACAAAAUUUAGCUAUAAAUUAGUUAGUCGCGUGAUCAUGCGUGAGUCAAUUUUUGAGUAAAAUAGCCAGUUUAUUAUUAAUUCACUUAUUUUGUCAGAUAGUUAAUUUUUAAAAUAAGCGCCAAGCCAAUUUAAUAAAAUUGAAAAGUUUUGUGGUAGAUUUCAAAUUUAAAUAGUAAAUUAGAAUGUUUUAAAAUUUAAUGGUAAAUUAUAAACCAAAAUUUAUAUCAUUCUGACUUUUUUUUUUUUCUUUUAUUUGAUUUCAAGAAUACUGCAUCAGAAUGUCUACAGACCAGUUGUGGGGCGAUUUUCACAAAAUUUAAAAUAGAACUCAAGUGAAAAACCAAAAUUCGAAAUCAUACCCGAACCCAAUUAGAUAUUAAAAUUGAGACUCGAAAUUAAAUCCAGAUAAAAAAAAAUAAUCAAAAAUCUGGAUUCAAAACUGAAAAAUCGAACCCGGCUAUUUAAUAUACUAGAUAUAAAUUAAAUUAUUAAUAUAUAUUAGUAAUUAUUAAAAUAAAUAUCUAAAAAAUAUAUUACACAUAUAUAAUAAAUGUUUGUUUAAAUUUACACUUUUGGUCCUCUUCAAACUUUAAAUUAUUAUAAUUUUUUAUUUGAACUUUCUGAAUUUCUGAAUUAUUACAAUCAAAUCUCGCAGCUAAAUUUAGUUGGCUUGGCAAAUUGUUGACAUGGGAAUAAUAAAAUAUAUUAAUUAUUAUCGCAUCGUCAACCACAAUACUUAUACAUUAUAUCUACAUUAACAAUUUAUCAAUAUUUAGCUAAUUAGAGUAGGUUGUGUAAUUUUAUUAGAACAAACCAAAAAAAGUUGGAGCAAGAAACCAUAUGGCUUGAGGACCAAAGUGUUACGCAUUUCAUAGUUUGAGGACCAAAAGUGUAAUUUAGUUGAGCUCUAUUCGUAUCCGGUAUUGAGAUGCAAAUAAAAUAUGAAAUAUCCGUACCGGGUCGGUAUCCCUGAUCCUACAGCGUUUGCAGACACAAGAGGACAGUUGUCAAUUUCUUUAUUUCAUUUCACCAGUCAGCCGGCAGUGCAUUGGUUUUCGGAACUGGGAAGACCAACAUGCAUGCUGAAAUCUUUGGGAGGUGGGUAGUGUUUGUUUAGUUGGAUCAAAUGUAGAAAAUUUCCUCUUCUAUUAACAACCGGGUUAAUUACACCGGUAGUUCUCAACCUUUGGAUCAAUUUUUACUAAUAAGAUUCUAAUUUUUUUUUUUACAAUUAAAUUUCUAAUCUCUUGAUUUUUUAUUACAGUUAGUCCCAACCGUUAAAAAAAUGUUAAAAUUAACAGAAUUGCCACAUCAGCACCUAUUUGACAUUUUUGUAUGUUAAUUUAGCUCUCUAAACUUUGCACGUUUUUCCUUUUAGCCCCAAUAAAUAAAAAUUUUAAAAUUAAAUUUAAAUUCAAAAAUAAUAUUAAAAUUAAAAUUUUAAGCUAACGAGAAAUUAGAAUUUGAAUUGAAUUUAAGCUGAAUUAAAUUUUUGAAUUGAAAAUUCAAAUUUUAAAUUUAAAUUUUUAAUUGAAUCUAAAUUUUGAAUUCAAACUUAAAUUUUUGAUUUUGAUUUUGAUAUUUCAAUUUACAUUUAAAAUAAAAGUUUUGAAACCGAAAUUAUAUUUACAAUUUGAAUUUAAAUUUAAAAUGAUAUUCAAAAUUUUGAUUUUAAAGUUUAAAUUUGAAUUCAAAAUUUAAAUUUGAAUUUAAGAUUUGAUUUCAAUUCUAAAUUUGAAUUUAAACUUCGAAUUCAAAUUCACAUUUUGAAUUUGAAAUUUCAAAUCGAAGUUUGAAAUUAAAUUAGAAUUUAGAAUUCGAAAUGUGAAUUUGAAUUUAAAAUUAAAAAUUUAAAAUUAAAUACAAAAUCGGAAUUUGAAUUCUAAUUUAAAUUUGAAUCCAAAAUCGAUAUUUAAAUUUAAAAUUUAAAUCUUAAAUUAAAAAUCUUGUUUUGAAAUCAUAAAUUUAAUAGGUUAAUUACACUAUUGGUCCCAACCUUUGCACCGUUUUUCGAUUUGGUCCCCAACUUUUUUUUUUUUUUGCAAUUCGCUGACACACUGCCAUCGUGGCGCUGACACGAAGCCUCCAUGGUGUUGACAUGGCGUCUCCGUGGCACUGACAUGGUGCUGACGUGGCAUUUUUCGUCAAUUUUAACACUUAUCUAACGGCUGUGACCUAAUUGUAAUGAAAUUAAGAGAUUAGGGAUUUGAUUGUAAAAAAAAUUGAUUGAAAAUCAGAUUGAAAAACGGUGUAAAGACUAGGGACCAUUGGUGUAAUUAAUCCAUUAACAACCAGAAGUAUUGGUUGUUAAAAAAGCAAAAGAAUAUAUAUUGUCAUAUUUUUUUUUUUUUUUUUGAGAGAUAGGUAGCACGCUACCCGCUUCGUUUAUUUCAUUCAGAAAUGAACUUAGCCAGAAAUGUGAAUCAAUUAGGAUUCGAAUUUGGGUCUCGGGUGCCAACCACCAAGCCCUUUGCCGCUUAUUUCAUUUUCAUCUUUACGUAUCCUUCGUAGCCUUUGGAUACAGCAAAAAUAGAAUCUCUCAAUUUAAGGUUUUAUUCGGCACUUAUCUGUCAUAUUAUAACUCAAAUUUAAGUAAAAAUUAUUAAUAAUAAUUAUAUAAUUUUAUUUUUUAUUUUAUAAAAUUUAUAUAUAGUGUAGAUAUAUAUUGAAUUUUUUUAUAUUUUUUUAUUCUAACAAAUUCAAAUUUAAAUAUAUAUUUUAAAUUAAAAAUAUCAAAAUUAAAAAUUUAAUAUAACAAUAAAAUAUUAGUAGAUAGAAUAGAGAUAAUAUAUAAAUAUUUAUCUUAAAAAAAGAUAUUGAAUGAUAAAAGUAUUUAAUAAAAAAUAAAAUAUUAAUGGCUGGAGAAAAAUGAGGAACUAAAAGUUUGUUUUGUUACGUUAUUUAUUUCGCGUACGAAUUUUUUUUUUUUUUGAAAUAGGUAUGUCGACAGGUCGAAAUUUGAAAUACGUAUUUUUAUAUAUAAUAAUAUAGAAUAUAGACAUCGAGUUGAGUUAGAAUACUUUUAAUAGUAUAUGGCCUCUUUUGCUAUCCUGUUUUUAGCCGUUAGAUCUAUUCUAAUUAUUUUUACUAUUGGAUUAAUAUUAUUUCACUAACAAGUACUAAACCCUGAGGGGACUACCACUCAAACCUAGAAAACCACUAUCAUCCUAACUCUACAAUUGUCAUCCAACGGUUAAAAAACUGAAUAGUAAAAGAGCCUCUAUAUAUAUAUAUAUAUAUAUAUAUAUUUUUGUAGUGACUCCUUAUUGAAGACGUUCAUAUCAAAAUUAUAUAUGAUAUUUAGUUUUUGUUAUUUAUGAUUUGUGUACUAAUUAUUUUAUUUAUUCAUAAUUAUAAAGUAGUGGUUUAGAUUUCUUUUUGCGGUAUAAUUUUUACGCUAUUGUCCUAAACAUGCAUAAGGUGAUUAUGAAAAUUUAGAGUAGACUAUAUUCAUACAGUUUAUAAAUUUUCAAUCAUAUAAGGUUGUGAAGAAAAUUAUUUUGGAUUUUUUUUUUUCGCUGCGUUUUGAAAUAAUAAGAAAUUUUGGAUCAUUCAAUAUUAUAUAAAGAUUUGUAAAAUCAACUAUGUCUCAGAAUAGCCACAACAUUCUAGUCAUGGUAUAUUUUUACUUACGGUUUUUUUUUUUAUUUUAUAAAAUUAUAUUGAACCAAGAUUUAUCUGAAAAUUUGUACAUAUUUCUAAUUUAAUUUUAGGAGCAAUUGCUUAUAUACCCGUGAAAAAUUUUCAACUUUCUGAUUUACCCUUCUUAGAAGGAUAAUAUUAACAAUAUUCUUUUUACGUUCCAAUUUAUUUCAAAUAUAUCUCUAGAGUUAAAUUCUAUUAAUGAGCGGUUAACAAUAGCUGUUAUCUUAAAAUUACUAUUUUGCCCUUUCAAAUAUACCCUUCUACCAUCACCAACUUUUCUUAUUUGCCCUCAAGUUGGGAGCACAAAAAAUAUUUUAAUUUUUGGUAUUUUCAGCUAUACCCUUCUACUAUCACCGACAUUUCUUAUUUACCCUUAAGUUAGGGGCAAAAGAGACAUUUUAAUUUUUUUUUUUUUAACUCUAAUAGAUAUUUAACUCACGUUUAACCUAAGUUAACUUAAUGAGUGAUAACUGUAGGAGUAUUUUGGAAUAAUGGAGGAACAUUUGAGGGGUAUAUUGGAAAGAAAAAAAAAAGUAGGGAUAAAUGAGAUAUUUUUAAAGUUUUGAGAGAUAUAUAGUGUAGUGUUUCUGAGCUUUGGAUAGGAUUGGCUUUAGUGUUAGUGACUAGUCGACACAUCUGGAGAGUGUCGGACUGAGUCGGAGUCGUUUCUGCGCGAAAUGGAUGCAGAAAUAGACUCGGCGCACUCAAAUAAGCAAAACUAGAGUUUUGCCAGAUUCGGGCGCCCAGAACUGGCCUUGGGUCGCCCAGAAGUUGAGUGCAGAACUGGACAGAACUGGAAGCCAAUUCGAAUCCGGGUUUCGGGCGCCCGAAUGUGGGUCCGAAUGUUCACCUCGUGAGUAUCGUUUGCGCUGACACGUGGCUGGUGGUAGCUGAGGUCCGCCAGAGCCGGAUAUGGGCGCAGUGCACCGUGGGCGGAGGAUUCGAAGUGGAACAAUUGUGCAGCCUGGAGGUUUUGGACGCCCAAAACAUGCUUUCGGGCGCCCGAAAGUGCCAUUUCUGCAGAACUACAGGUUUGUAGCUGUUGUUUCUGAGGCUUAUUGGACCGCUCUAACACCCUAUAAAUAGGUGGUGUUCGACCACAGUGGGCUCUUUUCACCUGUUCUUCACAAAGAAGCCUCAAAUUGCUUUUCCAUCCUUCAGAUUUCCUCAAAUUGCAUCAAAUCUUUCAAUUGAAAGGUGGUGGAGUGCUGACCCUGUAGUUUUCCAGCAAUGAUCUUCAGUGUUUUGGCUUGUGUGCGACGUAGGAAGGUCGGAUUGCGGUGAAACUUGGUUUGUUGGAUUCUAGACUUCCAGAGGAAUCCAGAAGCCCAUAAUUGUAUUUUUUGGUUGAGGUUAGCUUGGUCGAUUCCAUGUUUUCCUAGACUGUUGGUGACUUAGAACUGAAAAUCUGAUUUUUGGGUUUUUCUUGGUGCAAGUCUUGGAAGGAGCGGGAUUUUGGACCUGAGAUUGAUACUCCAUCAUUAUUCACUGGAUUUGGAACUUGCCUCACCUGAAUUGGAGAUUAUUAGGUGAGUUUUGAGAUUGGAGUUGAGACAAUUAAGCUUAAGUGCUGAAAUUUUGAUGAAUUGAUGGAUUUUGAUGGAUUUUGGAUGUAGAUCCUUCGAGUAGCUUUGUUGCUGGUUGUGGGUGACCUCGGCUGAGGAUUCCAGCAUUUUUUUGACCUUCUUUCUAUCUGGGAAUUGCACCAGAGGUGGGUUUAUCAUCAGUUUUGCUCCUAAGUAUAUGUAUAGUAAACAUGUAUAGUUUUGACUUUGGAAUAUCAUGUUGUAGCUCAGAUUCAUCGAUUGGUUUAAUGUACGAAAUCUGAAUUUGGAGCAUGAAUAGUAAUUAGUUGAAUAUACAUGUUGAACUUGGAACUUGACUUAGGAGAAAACCAGCGAUUCGACCUGUCAUAUAAUUCUACUACCUGAUUUAGCUCUAGGAGCCGUAGUUUGGUUGUAUCACUGAUGUUUCAGCGCGGUGGAUACCCGGGGUAGUCUAGAAUGCAUUUACGCUCGUGCUGGGAUGCCGAGCUUAUUUUUACAGCAGAGUCUAGGCUGUUUCGGGUUGUCGGGCACAGUCGGGGUGGACGGUGGACCCAGAUUUCUGUUUUUGGUCUCAGAUUGUGCCGAUGGCACGUGUGUUUGGUUUCUAGACCUGUUUUGACCCUAGCUACUUGUCUUUGGCUUGUUAGAGCCUGAUUGAGCUCGACAGAGAUACGCUUGCAUACUCGGUUGGGUAGCGCUCACGAGUGCCACUCCGAAGUCGGGCUUAGUGCGUUUACGUUUGUGUCGUUUGUGCAGGUUGGACUUGCUCUCUACGGACUGGUUAGUGUGAAGAUAGCUGUAUAGUCACAACCGGGCAGGACGGGUGUGUUCACAGUCCCAGGGACGGGUAUGAUUACAGUUCUUAUUGAGAUUGGGUCUGAAAUGACAUUGUUCUACAGAGGGUAGAGUUGGAGCUUGAUGGUAUAGUGGCAUUUAUCUGUAGAUUUAUUCCAGCUUUUCUUACUAUUCCUGCUUAUUCCUGUAGACUUAGUGGGUGGACCGAUGAGUUUGAGGGCGGUACCCACUGAGGAUUACUUGUUUUUACAGUAGUUCUCACGCCCUGUUGUUACCACUGUUUUUGCAGAGCCGUCGCCUUUGGCUGCUGCUGUUGCUGAUCUUGAUCGUGGUAAGAGCGUCGCGAGUUAGAACCCUUCCAGUUGAGUCGCAGAGCUAGAGGAGCACCAGGUACAGGUAGUUGUACUUUUUGGGUCUUUACGUACAGUUGUUGUUUCUCGCCAGAGCGAGUAUUUGUAUAUCUUGGAUGACAUGUAUGUAUUGAACCAUCGUUUUUAUAUAUGGUUUAUUUUUCUAGCUACUCUAUACUACUGUUUGUAGUAUUGUAUGAUUACAGGUACUUCUACUUUUUCGCUUCGUAUACCGAGGAAAUACCUAUGUAUACGGCGGGUCUGUUAGCGAGCCCAGAAAAACAAAUAAUUCGGGGUGAGACAUAUAGGCAAUUAUUUCUUAAUUUUAAUAGUCAUUCAAUAUCAAAUAAGGAAUAUCAAAUAAGGUUAUUUGUAUCUUUCAUUAUGUUUAAGAAUAGGCACAGUAUCCUAUAGAUAAUGAAGAAUGUAUAAGAAUUUACUAAUAUUGAAUUAAAGUAUGACCAUUUAUUGCAGUCAAAUAAAAUAAUAUUUUUUUUCUAUUUUGAUUGGAAUAAGAUAGUAAAUUGAAUUUUUAGAUAGCAAAUUUUUUAUACCCACAGAUACAAAAAUCUCGUUGUUUAGAAACAAUUUUUUGCUAGUUUUAUUAUUAAAGUAGAUAAAUUUUAUACGUAUAGCGCCUCUACCCACAGAAAGAUAGAAUUAUCUAAUUUAAUGAUUAUUGUUUUAUAGUAGCCGAUAAAGUUCUAUAUUUACUUUGUUCUUACGACUUCUUCCUCUGUCGUAUUUCUUAAUGUUGUUUCUGGUAUUCCUAUACAACUGGAAACAACUAUUCUGAUUGGAAAGAAAGUAUUUCUUUUAUUUUGGGUUAUAUGGAUUUUUAUUUGGCUGUGUGUGUUGAGCAGCCAUCGGAGGUAGAUGGGUCAAUGACUCCACAGAAGGAAUCUACGCAGGAUAAGUGGGAGCGAUCCAACUGUUUAAGCUUGAUGCUCAUAAAGUCUUGAGUAUCAAAAAACUAUACGGGGAUCAAUUUCAAAAAGUGAUAAAGUCAAUGAUUACGUAAAGGCUAUUGAAAAGUAGUUUGUCAACUCCGAUAAAGUUUUGGCGAGCACCCUGAUGAAGUGACUUUCAGAAUUUUCUCUUAUUAUUAUAUAUGGAUGAUAUUCUGUUUGCAAGUUGUGAUUUAAGUUUGUUUAAGAAGACAGAAGAUUUUCUUUCUAAGAACUUUAUGCUGAAAGAUAUAUGUGAACCUUUUUAUAUCAUCGGUAUAAAAAUUUACAAAAAUAAAUCUCGAAGAAUUUUGGGUCUAUCUCAGAAAGUCCACAUCGAAAGAGUUCUAGAAAGCUUUAAUAUGACAAACUGUGUUGUGACUAUUGUGAAAGGUGGCAGAUUCAAUCAGAAAUAAUGUCUACAGAAUGAUUUAAAGUGAGAGCAUAUGAAAAACAUACCUUAUGCCUUUGCAGUAGAGAGCUUGAUGUAUGCGCAGGAAAAUAUCAGGUCUGAUAUAGCUCAUGCGGUGGAGAUGCUGGGCAGAUACCAAAGCAAUGUGGCUUUGGUCACUGAAAAGCUGCGAAGAAAGUCAUAAGAUAUUUAAAAAGAACAAAGGACUAUAUGCUCAUCUAUAGUUAUUCUGACCAUCUUGGGUGAUUGGAUAUUAAUACUCUGAUUUUGCUAGAUAUGUAGAUUCUAGAAAGUCCACUUCGGGAUAUAUUUUCUUCCUUACUCAAGGUGCUAUAUCUUAGAGGAGCACCAAGUAGGGUGCUUUUCUUGAGGAGACAGUCGGUAAGAGGUUGUGGGGGCCCUCCUGUUCUGGGACGCUAACCAUAAGUUGCAACAUCCACUAUGGAGAUAGAGUUUGUCGCUUGUUAUGAGGCUUCAUCACAAGUUUUAUGGCUAAGAAAUUUCAUCUCAGAUUUAAGAGUUGUCGACCCUAUCGUAAGACCAAUUAAAAUUUAUUGUGACAAUUCUGCUACAUUAUUUUUUUAUUAAGAAUAGUCGAAUUAUAGAUCACAACAAAUAUAUCGAUAUAAAGUAUCUUACUGUGAAAAAAUACGACAAGAAGAAUGUGGAUAUCCAACAUAUUGGGAUUGAGAUGAUGAUUGUUGAUCUUAUGACUAAAGCAUUGCCGGCAAAUAAGUUCAAGAAUCUUGCUGAUCGUAUGGGUAUCUUGAGUCUAUUUACAGUUUAAGUAUUUUUUCUUGUAUAAAGACUUUAAUAACUAUUCUUAUUUGAAAAAGUACAUAUUUUGAUUUUUUGCACAUAUGUGGAUAAAGUUAUCUUUUGUAUAAUUAAAAUUUUAUUGUGCAUUAAAGUGGGACUCUGUGUUAAAUUUAUAAUAAGUUCAUACAGUUAUAACUCAUAAAGGCACUUGAUUAAGGAAUACAUUCUUUUGAUACUUGGAAUAGAGUGUUCAUCUGUUGGGAUAUAGCCGCUAGCUAUGAUCAAAGUAUAGUCCAUUUACAGUUUAAGUAUUUUUUCUUGUAUAAAGGCUUUAAUAACUAUUCUUAUUUGAAAAAGUACAUAUUUUGAUUUUUUGCACAUAUGUGGAUAAAGUUAUCUUUUGUAUAAUUAAAAUUUUAUUGUGCAUAAAAGUGGGACUCUGUGUUAAAUUUAUAAUAAGUUCAUACAGUUAUAACUUAUAAAGACACUUGAUUAAGGAAUACAUUCUUUUGAUACUUGGAAGGGAGUGUUCAUCUGUUGGGAUAUAGUCGCUAUGAUCAAAGUAUUGUAAUUCAUUGGUCGAGUGGGAGGUUUUUACUGUAUAAUUUAGUAGGUAAUUAAUAAAAUUUUGUAUCGCCUGUACAGUAAUAAAUAUAUUACUAGACCAAGGGAGAGAAUAUUGGAUGUGGCCCACGUGAUUUAUUCAAGACGAUCUAUAACAAUACAAUCGAUCUAUUCAAGGCGAUCUAUGAAGAUAUGGUCGAUUCAACAGUUAGGAUGUAUUUGGACACAUUCUUAAUAGACGGAUGUGAUUUAACAUUUUUAUAUUAAGUUGUAUAUAAAUAUGUGUAAUAUAUGAGAGUCCCGCUCUAACACUAAUUCUAAUUUCUUGUGAUGUCUCCAUCUUCGGGGAUAAGUGAAUGGGCGUGAUUUAACGUUCCACUCUCUUGUAAAUCAUGAAUGAGGACGAACCACAAGUAAGAAUCGCCGUCUCUCUUAUAGAUCAUGAACGAGGACGAACCACAAACAAGAAUAGUCGUCUACAAUCCGGGUUUGAAAAUCGAAAUUAUGACAGAAAAUAUGAUUUAAUUUUUCAUAAAGUUUAACAAUAGAAACUAGGAACCGAAGCAUCACAACCUUUGGAAGUUGAAGUGUCAUGAGCAACUCAAAAAAUUUCUAAUAAUAAAUAUAGACAGCAAAUUGAAGAAAAAUUGCUUAGCUUUUUAAAAUCUCUAAAAGCAAUAAAUGGUAGGUUUUUAUUUUUAAUAAUGGCAAUUGGUCUAUGAAUAGUAAGGGGACUUAGUUUUUUUUCAAAUCCCAAACUUUAAGAAUAUUGUAUACUAUUGUAGUGACCCAUACGUUACAGCGGAUAGAUACUAUUAAAAUAAAAAUUUGUAAAGAAUAAAAUAUUAGUUUAGUAUAAAAAAUAGUAAAUCUAGUCUAUAUUAUAGACAAAUACUUUUAAAAAAUAAAACUAUAAUGAAAAAGAAUUUAAUCGUUUCAACAAAACUAUUCAACAUUAUUUAAGAAAAGCUGCAUAUCAUACAAAUAAAUGAAUAAAAUUAUUUCUAUAACAUAAUUAACGAAUGAGAAAAAAAAAUUAGAAAAAAAAGUAGGCCCUAUUCUUCUUCAAAUUAAGGGGGUGGAUAUACGUAGUAUUUAGCCAUGGAGAUUAAUGUAUAAGUAUAAAUAUAAUCUUUCAUUUUUUCAAAUGUAUAAGUAUAAGUAUUUUUUUAUUGCAACUUAGUUUUAGAAUGAGUAAGUCCGUUCGGAACGAGCAAGCUUGCCUAUUUUCAAGAAGGAAGACGGACGCCGCACGAAUUUUUGCGAGUCAAAGGUAUAAGUCUGUGACACUUUGCUCUCGCUAGGUAAGUAUCAAAUGUUUGGUUUCAUAAAUUCUCAUGGUCCAUUCUGUUAGUUUAUUUUAGGGGUGGCAAAGUAUAACUCUACUUAAUUGUGCCUGAACCAAAAGAAAUAACUAAAUUUUGAUAAAAAAAAAAAAAUUCCGACUGAAAAUUCGGAGCAAGAUUAUUUGAAUUAACCUGAUCAACGAUACAGCUUAAUUUAUACUAAUAGCUUAAAAAUCGGUAUCAGCACAAAUACCGAUUCCAACAAUUAAUAUUAGAGCAAGUGGCAAAGGAUUUGGUGGUUAGUAUCCGAGGUCCUAAGUUUGAAUCCUAGUUGAUUCACAUGUCAGGCUAAGUUUAUUUCUAAAUGAAAUAAACGAAGCGAAUAUAGCGUACUAUCUAUCUCUCAAAAAAAAUAAUAAUUAAUAUCAGAGCAAAUCACGCUUCCAACACGGUUGAAUUUGAAAACAAGGAAUGCUUAUUAAUAAUUCAAACCAUUGUCGGACCAAUUUUGAUCUCGACCUAAAUUUUUGCUUAUUAUAUUCCCAGUGAGAAUGGAAAUGUGGGCAUAUCUCUUUUAAUAUAAAUUGGAGGACUAGAUUGAUUCCCCUUCCACCGUAGAAUAGGAUUUAGAAUGAGACUCCUAAACCAAACAAUUGAAUUGGGAUGCACUCAUUUUACUUUUUCAUUUAAGUCCAAAACUUUCUAUCAAAGCAUGCUCUGGCGCCAACUUAGAAUGAGCUUCAAUUGCAAAUAACAUGUUACUGAAUAAUAUUGAUAUAAGCAGUACUGCUAUAGGUCCUCAGAAUAGUGUCUUUGUCUUUAUAGGCUGCUGAUGUAUUGGUAUUCAUAAUGUGGAGUUUUUUUUAUUGUCGCAUGCUCAAGCUGUUUACAAAUAUCAUAUUCAUUUGCCAAUACAUUAAUUUAUUUUUUUUUAAAAUAAAGAACCUUGAAUAGGAAGCAACUCAUUUACCCUUGUCGGCCCUCUUCUAAUAAAUUCAUUGUCAAAUACAACGCUGAGAUUCAGGUGGAAAAUUUUUAUAUUAGAAUAAAUCUUUUAGAUUCAGGUGGAGGGGGUGAAUCAUAUAACUUAUCAAACUGUCUUAAUAAUAUUUCGUUAAGAAGUUUCUUGGUGAAGUCGUAGCGUACGAAAAAAAAAAAAAAAAAAAAAAAAGAUUCCGAAAGUUCCGAAGCAUCUCCAUUGAUAAAAAGAGUGUGAAGACCUUUUGGAUGUGCUUAAGCUAUAAUCUUCUUUGAAUGCAAAAAAGGAGAAGGAACAGUGGAACAAAAAAAAAAAAAGAAAAAAAAAGAAAAAGAAAAAGAAAAACCUCUUUGUGGUGAGCUGUACAUGAAAAGAGAUUCAAUUGGGUGAGAAUUGAAAACAGGGAAUGUGGGUGGACGUAGGCAUCACAAGGCAUCAGAUUCUUCGCCGCACCUAACUAUUUUUAUUUUUAUUUUUAUUUUUAUUUUUAUUUUCCAUGUGCACCAUGUCUCUUCUCGCAUAUGUACACGUACUAUUUGAGUCAAAUACAAAGGUUUAGCCGUUUAGGUUCAAUGUUCAAAACAAAAUUUGGAACAUUAGCCUCUUGUUUCCUUUUUUUAUAUUAUAUAUCUCUGUUCUAUUAAUUACUUUAUGCGGGAUUCACGUACUAUGAAGAUCAAUCGAAUGUACCAUUUUUAGAAUGUACGUACCUAUUAAUUGUUAGUUUAUAAAACAUAUAAUAGAGUAAACUUUAGAAAAAGACUCUGUGAUAUAACACAUUUUUAAAGUGUUUUUUAAAGAUUUGUUUCUAUGACUUAGGUGUUCUAAGUUUGCCAUUUGGAUUCUCUAUGAGAAUUUUAAAGACCUCAUUUAGAAUUAAGGGUUGCCUAACACUUUUGGAUCAUAAUAAGUUGGAGUUUAGUGUCACGUAGAAAAUAUAUCUUAAAACUAGUUAUCUUAGCACCAUAUUAUUAUUAUUCUUACUAUUUUUUGGCUAAUUUGCAUAAAAGAUUUAUUAGUUUUGAACUUUUGCAAAAUUAGGCCGCCAUUUUGGAUUUUGUAGAUUCAGACCGGAUAUUCAGAAAAUUAACCAAAAUACUCUUAUUCCCUUUUCUAUCAUCUUUUUUUUUUUUUUUUUUUUUUUUUUUUUUUUUUUUUCUCUCGUUCUUUUUUUUUCUUUCUCUCCAAAGAGGAUGGCGUACGUGGAGGCGACCCACCUCACCUCUGUCCCGCAUCCCCUUGCCCUCGUCCGCACACCCUCCCUCUGCCUUUCUCGCCUCCGACCCCGCCGAAGCUGUGCUGCGACCCUUUUUUUUAUUUUUUUUCUUUUCUUUUCUUUCCAACCCUCUUUCACCGCCUUCCCAACUCUUUACAACAGUAAAGAGGGCAGCAUCAUUUUCUCUUGAUCUUUUUUUUUCCUCUUCGACCUCCUUACCACCUCCGCGACCCUCUACGAUGGUAAUGAGGACAACGUCGCAUCCUCUUCCUUUGCCUUCGCCGACGCAGGCACCGACACCGGUGCCGGAGAAGGAGGACUCAUAGCAAGUGCGGAUGAGCGUAGAGCGAAGGAAAAAAGAUACAUAAAAUAAAAAAAAUAAAAAGAAUAAAUAAUAAAAUAUAAAGAAAAAUAUUUUUUCUAUAAGAAAAAUAAAAAACAAAGAGAAAAGAAGAAGAUGAUGAAGUUGUACUAUUUCAGAGGAACAUUGCACUGUUUUAGAGAGAACUUAUGCUCUUUAAAAGAAAAAUUAUACUUUUUUUGUAUGAAAGUUGCACUUUUUGAACGAAAGUUGCGCUAUUUGAAAAAAAAUUACACUAUUUCUCCUUCUCCUUUUUCUUCUCUUUUCUCUUCGUUUUCGUGUGUUUCUUCUUUGCUCAUCUCUUCUUCAUCUUCCACCUUCGUCACUUUCGUCGGCAGAUCCUUCGCACAUCUCUCUCCGUACAUUUUUUUUUUCCCUCUCCGGGGUGGAAGGAGGAUUGGAGAGAAAAAAAAAAGAGGGUUGCGGCAUGGAUUCGACGGGGUUGGAGGCAAGGAGGGAGGGGGGUGCAUAGGCACGAGUGAGAGAGUGCGAGGCAGAGGCAAGGGUAGAGAAUCUGCUGACAGAAAUGGAGGGCGAAAAAGAGAUGGGCAUAGAAGAGAACGCACGAAAACGAAUAGGAAAGAGAAGAAACAGUAUAAUUUUUCUCCAAAAAGUGCAACUUUCGUUCAAAGAGUGUAAUUUUUAUCCAAAAAAGUGUAAUUUUUGUCUCAAAAAAUAUAAAUUUUCUCUAAAAUAGUGCAAUAUUCCCCUGAAAAGGUGCAACGUUCUUCUGAAAUAGUGCAACCUCAUCAUCUUCUUCUUUUUUCCUUUGGUUCUUUAUUUUUUUUUUGCAGAAAAAGUAUUUUUAUUUAUGUUUUAUUCUUUAUUUUUUAAUUUUUUUAUUUUCUCGAUCUUUUUUUUCUCGGCUCUGGUCUUAUCUGCACUCACUUUGAGUCUUCCUUCUCCAGUACCGGCAUUGGUGUCUGCACCAGCGAAGGUGGAGGAAGAGGAUGUGACUGUUCUCGUUACCGUCGUGGAGAAUCGCGAAGGCGAUAGGGGGAGGCCGAAGAGGGAAAAAAAAGGAGAGAGAAAAAAUGAGAGGAAGUGGACGUGAUGCUGUCAUCUUUACUAUUAUAAAGAGCCGGGGAGGCGGUAGUGGAGGGUCGGAGAGAAAAAAAAAAGAAGAGGAUCGUGGUGCGACAUCGACGGGGUUGCAGGCGAGAAAGGCGAAUGGAGGGUGUGCGGGCACAGACGAGGGUGAGGGCAAGGGGGCAUGGGACAGAGGCGAGGCGCGCGGGCUGCCUUUGCCUCCGGUGCCCUCUUCGGAGAGAAAGAAAAAAAAAACAACAGAAAAAAAUGAGAGAGAAAAGGGAAUAAGGGUAUUUUGGUCAGUUUUCUGAAAAUCCAGCCCGAAUCUGCAAAAUCUAAAAAAGUGGCAUAUUUUUGCAAAAGUUCAAAACUAAUGAAUUUUUUAUAUAAAUUAGCCUUAUUUUUAUAACAGAAGCAAAAUUUUUCUAUUGUAUUUUCUCAUUGUAAAUAACAUGUAUUGCUUGUUACCCUAAAUGAAAUCUUAGCUUUAUUAGAAUUUUGGCUUGAACUGGUUUUAGAUUUGCAUAAGUAAAUGGAUUUGGAUUAUGAUUGAGUCAAAUUUUAAAUCUAAACUUGAGCCUAAGAACCCUUAUUAGAUUUGGGUUUUCUUUUCGGAUUUGUGGUUGUGUUUGGAUGAAACUGAAAUGAACAAACAGAAUCAUAAGGAGGGCGCCAUGCGUCCCUUUUUGUUUCUCUUGUAGUGUUAACUUACGUGAUGAAAUGCUUUGCAGGUGCAAAACUUUUGUUUUUUUUUUUCUCAGCAAAAAUGUACGGAAAUUAUCUAAAGCUAAUUACUUACUUUAAUGAAUUUAUAAUCACGAGAAUUGCAUAAAAAUACUAAUUAAACAUAUAAAGAUAAAUGACGCAUUUAAUUUAUGAAGUCAAAAGUGUCAUUGACUGACUACGAAUUAAAAGGUUGGUCAGUGAAAUUAAAAUUUUGAAAGAUUUGAUAGAAAAAUCAAAAUAAUUCAUAUAGACAAGCUCUCUACGUUUUUACUAUUUUUUUUUUAGAGAGAAAGAUAGCAAGCUACUUGUUUUAUUUAUUUUAUAUAAAAUAUAAACUUAGCUAGAAAUGUGAAGUAAUUAACUAAAGUUCGAGCUUGAAAUCUCAGGUACCAAUUAUCGAGCCCUUAGCCAACUUUAUUGGAUAAAGUCGGUCUUGUUUUUGCGAGAGAGAGAGAGAGAAAGGUUGCAUACUAUUUGCUCUAUUUAUUUUUUUAAAAAAAUAACUUUAGUCGAAAAUAUAAAGUAAUUAGGUUUCGAAUUUGCUAUCUCAGGUAUCAAUCAUUAAGUCAAAUAAAACUGUUAAAUUACGAUUUAGGAGGGCAGGUUUAGGGGUGGAAACGAGCCGAGCUCGAGCGAGCUUAUUUCGGCUCAAAUUCGGCUUGAAAUUAAUUUCGAGCCUAAAUUUAAGCUCAAGCUUGGUUUGAAAUUAAUUCGAGCCGAGCUCGAGCGAGCCUAAUUUCAAGUCAAGCGAGCUCGAGCCCUAAAUGAGCCGCUUGAAAUUCUCAACCUCGUACGAUUAAUAUAUAGUUUAAUUUGUAUAGAACAUUAUCUGCAAUUUGAUACAAAAAUAUGUCUAAUAGUUCAAAGUAUAACGUAAUUACAUGAAAUAUGAUAUUAUAAUAUGAAGAAAAAUAACUUAUGAGUUGAAUGUCUAAUCUUUUUGGCCUCACAUGUUAUCUCUUCCACCUUCAAUCUCUAUAUUAUUAAUUUUUAUAUAUUUUCUUAAACACACAAUUAAUGGCAAAGUAGGCAACGGCGGGUACGUGGUGUUACUUGGUAAUUUGGGGGGCUUCAGGCUUGGCUUGGGGUGAGUAGAGAGAGAGAGAGAGAGAGAGAUUAGAAAUUUAGAGCUCCGCGCAAGAAAGAAAGGGAGAAAGUAUAAAAUUUAGUGAAAUUUUGCGCUUUUGUUUAUCUAUUAGGUUUGUUUUUAUGAACCAACAAUAUUGGCUCAAUUUUAACUCAACUCAUAUUACUAAUUCAGCCUAUAUAUAAUUAAAAUAUAUUAUAUUUAUAUAUUUUUUAAUAUAUAUAUAUAUAUAUAUAUNAUAUUUUUUAAUAUAUAUAUAUUCGAGCUUUUCGAGCCUAAUUCGAGCAAGCCGAGUAACAUUCAAGUUAGGCUUGAAAUGAAUUUCGAGCUUUUUCUUUUGUUCAAGCUCGGCUCAUUUAAUUUCGAGUCGAGCUUGAGCGAGCCGAAUAUUGAGCCGAACACGAGUCGAACGUGAGCCGGCUCGCUCGUUUGCCAGCCCUAGGCAGGUUUGGUUUGUGCCAGUUUGAUUUUGAUAGGAGCAUAUAUUGGGUCUCAAAACAGGCCAAGCAUCUUUUUAUUCCUUAGAAAUCUGAGUUCAAGACAAUAAUCAAAAUCAAUUUAGUCAAGAUAGAUGGCCUAGACAUCAAAAUUUUUUGACUUUGCAAGGGAACGUUUGGAGGGUGCUAAAAUGACCGAAAUACCCACUGCCGGCCCUGGUAUAGUGCUAAAAUGACCAAAAUACCCUUAUAUUUGAUGCUAUGCGAGGAGCAUCAAAUAAAAGUCUAAAAUGCAGUAGUUAUAUUGCUGAUAUAGUAUUUCCAACCAAUCAAAUAGUUUUACUGAAAUACACCUAUCCUAUCAUAUUUUUUAAAAAAAUAUUUUUAUUGUACUUUUCUUUUAAAAAAGAAAUAUAAUUGGCUGAAUAUAUAUAUAUAUAUAUAUAUAUAUAUAUAUAUAUAGAUGAUGUGGUAUAAUUGCCACAUAUCAAAGGACAAAAAAAUUGAGAAGAGAGGAAGAGAGAGGGAGAGAAUGGGAGGAGAGUAAGCAGAGAAGAUGAAUACAAGUGUCGUUCUUCAAAAGCUUAAGCUAUUGAAGCUUUAUAUUUAAGAUUUUUUUUUUUCAUAUUUUGAUUUGAAACUUUUAUUUUUAAUAUUUAUGUUCGAAUCCCCCUAAUGUCAGAGCUAUAGAGAGUUUGAAUACAGGAUCUCUCCUUCUUCUUCUUCUUCUUCUUCUUCUUCUUCUUUUUGGGAUAAGCUCAAGUUGUGAGCUUGAGUAAAAUUGAAGAAAAUUAAAUAAGACAAGAGGUCUAUGAAAAAUUGAAGGAUCACUUAUUUUAACAUGUUCUGAUAUCAUGAUAAAAUAUUAUGAAAUAAUUAUUUGUCUUCAAAAUAUUAAACUAUCAGAUAAUGAUAUUUCUUAAUAUUUAUAUUCAAUAAGAGAAAGAAAGAAAAAUAAGUGAUCCUAACAUGUUCUGAUAUCAUGAUAAAAUAUUAUGAAAUAAUUAUUUGUCUUCAAAAUAUUAAACUAUCAGAUAAUGAUAUUUCUUAAUAUUUAUAUUCAAUAAGAGAAAGAAAGAAAAAUAGGAGAGAGGAAGAGAGAAGGAGAGAGAGAUCGGAGAUUCACGAGGGGAAAAGAAAUUGUACAGUAGUAUUGCCUCUAUAUAUAUACACUUGCUAUCCAUUUCCUCCUUAAGUAUAUGUGCAUUUACUUAACAACACAUUUUAAUCUCUUACUGUACAUUUUCAUAUGUAUGUUAUCUCAAAUUGUAAACUCCAUUAUAUAAAGAUGUAGGAUGCAAAGGUACGUCUCGAAUAUAUCAUAAUUAAGCAAUUUAACUAGUGCAUUUUUUACCAUUCAAUUUCAUCACCCACAAAGAUAUAUAUAAGUUAACCCCAUGAAGAAAUUUUUCCUCUCAUUUAAAGCUUGAAAGCAACAUCUAUUGUCAUCAAUUGAACUAUUUAAUUCUAUUCGCUGGUCCCUAUUAGCUUAAUUUUAAGCAAAAGAGUACGUACUCGAAAGAUUGAUUUAAUAGAAACAAGUUUAAUAAUAUAUUGAACACUUUUGCUUACUUAUCGUGUGUGAUACACAUGAACAACUCUGAUGUCAUAUUAUCCAACAGAUCGAAUUGAUAAGAAAUGCGUCCGCAGAAUUAUCUAACAAUUAUCAACUAGCCUAAGUUGGCAGCUGGUUUUGGCCAAUUAGUGAGGUACAACUAUGCCAGGGCUAUGGACAAAUUGUGACUUAAUGGCUUGUUUCUCCAUAACAUGGUGAUGGUCCACACUUUUCCCAUGCAUAACCCACAUGGUUACAAUAUUAAGAAGAGGACAUCUCAACGAAUUAAAUGCACUUGGGUACUUUUGUUCCCAUCCAUAGAUGAGGAGCUACAAAGGAUAUAUAUAUAUAUAUAUAUAUAUAUAUAUAUAUAUAGGCAAUGCACUGGGAAUCUCCAUUUAUAAAGAGCCAUUAUGAGGAAAAGGAGAAUAUGUUGUCCUUUUAUGGUGGGGAUCCAUGAAUAUAUAUGUUUCUUCAACAUGAUUAUUGUAGGCCUUUCUGUUUUAUUUGGUUCUAGGAUUAGGUUAUCAUAUAUUAAUCUAGGUAUAAUAAUUAAUAUGAAGUGGCACUAAUAUUUGGGGUUCUAAAUUUUAUUUACACUUGGAUAAAUGCAUGAAAUAAUAGUAUACUUAUGAUCUUUUGAGAUAACCAAUUGUGUUUAGCCUAUUGAUGUCACGCCCCGAAUUCCUCGCUUCUCCAGGCACGCUAAUAGAUCCGCCGUAUACAUAGGAGUUUUUUCUGUAUACGAAGCGAAGCUGUACAUGUACCUGUAAUCAUACAACACUACAACCAGUAGUAUAGAGCUGCUAGAAAGGAAUAAAACAUCUACAACAACAGUGAUUCAAUACAUACAUAGUAUCCGGGUACAAAACACUCACUCUAGCGAGGUACAAUAUUAGUAUGUGAAGAACCAAAAACUACAACUACCAAUAGCUGGUACUCCUCUAGCUCUGCAACUCGGCAAGAAGGGCUCUAGCUCGCAACACCCUCACCGCGAUCAGAAUCAGCAGUAGCAGCAGCCGCAACCGAAGAUUCUGCAAAAGAGGGGAAGCAACUGGGCGUGAGAACUACUGCAAAAACAAGUAGUCCUCAGUGGGUAGCGCCCUCAAACUCAUCGGCUCACCCACCAAGUCUACAGAAGGUAUGCUCAAAGAUAGUAAAGGAACUGGAAACAACCACAGCUGUAUGCUACUAUACUAUCAUGAUCCAAAUACUAACUAUCUGUAAAAUAAAGCAGACUCUGACCCAAUCUCACUAGGGAUUGUGAAUACACCCGUCCUAGGGACUGUGAAUACACCCGUCCUAGGGACUGUGAAUACACCCGUCCCGCCUGUCGAAGCUAUAUAGCUAACUCCACGCUCAGCAGCCCGUGGAUAGCAAGUCCAACCAGGACACAACGACACCAACGCAAACGCACAAACCCCGACUCCGGAGUGGUACUCGUGAGCGCUACCCAACUGAGUAUGCAAGCGUAUCUCUGUCGAACUCAAUCAGGCUCUCACAGGCUAAGAUCCAAGUAAACAGGGUCCAACUGGUUUAACAACCAAACUCACGUACCAUCGGUACAAUCUGAUACAAAAAGAGUAAUCUGGGUCCACCGUCAACCUCAACGGCACCUGACAGUCCGGAACAGCCUAAACACUGCUGUAAAAAUAAGCUCGAUAUUCUAGCAUGAGCGUAAAUAUAUUCUACACUAUCCUGAGUAUCCACAGCUCACAAACUACGGUGAUACCAACAAACUACGGCUCUUAGAGCAAAAUCUGGUAGUUUUAACAUAUGACAGUGUAGAAUCUCUGGUUUUCUCCUAAGUCAAUUCCAAGUCCAACAUGUAUAAUUUAUCUACCUCACUACAGCAUGCUCCAAAUUCAUAUUUCGUUUAACAUGCUAAUCGAUGAAUUCGAGCUAAAAACAUGAUAUACAAAGGCUGAAAAUAUACAUGUUGACUAUGUAUACACUUAGGAGGAGAAUUCGAUGAUUAAACCACCUCUAGCGCUCAGUCCACGGCAGCGAGAGGUCGCCGGAAAAACCUUGCUAAGCUCGGCCACAAUCAGCACACUCCUCUCCAAAAAUCUAAACGUAAAAUACCACUAAUUCCAUCAAUACCUCAAAAUUCAGCAUUAAAGCUUAAUUUCACCUCAAUCACAAUGUCAACUUCACCUUCCAAUCUUCAAAUCAGGUGAGAAAGGGUCCCAAUUCCAGUAGACCGAGUUGGAGUAUCACCCUCUGGUCCAAAACCGAGCUUCCUUCAAAGAUUGCACCAAGAAAACCCACAAAUUCACAGAUUCAGUUGAAAAACACCAGCAGCACAGUAAAAAGCCAAAUUGACCAAGCUAACCUCAACCAAAAUCUGUCAAAUUCGGCUCCAUGAAUUUCUCUUGAAGUCCAAAAUCCACCAAACCAAGUUUCGUGGCAAACGGAGCUUCUUACGUCGCACACGAGCCAAAACGUCGAAGGUCGCUGCUGGAAUUCUGCUGAAACUGCAGUCUUCAAGGUGGAAAGUGUGCAAUUUGGAGAAAUUUGGAGUAAUUUGAGGGAUUGCAAUGCAAAUUGGCCUUCACUGUGAAGAGGAGAUGAAAAGAGUUCACCAGGGUCGAGUUCCAUCUAUUUAUAGAGAGUUAGAGUGGUCAAAUAAGUUCCAGGAACAAAAGCUGCUAACCUGAGAUCUCAGCAGAAACAACCACUUUCGGGCGCCCAGAACCCCUUUCUGGGCAUCCGAAACCUCCAGGCUACACAAUUGCUCCCCUUCGGUUCCUCCGCCCGCGGUGUGCUGCAGCCAUAUCCUGGUUCGGCGGAUCUCACCUACCACAAGCCAUGUCACGCCCCGAUUUUCACCAAUUUGGUCGGGUUCGGGCCACAUCAACAGACGCCGAACGGACAGAGCCUCCCCUGUCCGCCCAAGGCUUUAGCAACAAGUAUAAUAAAGCAAUUCAACAAAGAGAUUUGCAAUUAUACAAGGCUUGCACGAGGGCAAGCAACAACGGAAGCGAAAGCUCUAUACUAAAACAUACAAUCAUACAUGAUAUUUAAUUAAAUUUAAACAAAAUACAAGUAAACUACAACUAUUACAUUCUUUUUUUAUUUACUCACAAAUUCUUUUACAUGCUUGUCAUUCUCCUAAAAUACAUGAUUGUUUACAACUUUACAAUUCUGAAUCAACAAAAGAAAGUUGAUACAUGAACCAAAAAGGGAAUGACUAAAAUGCAUAACUCCGGUAGCCACUAGUUAUGGCGCGAUACCCUUGCCUCGAUCCUCCGCCGCCCCGCUCGCGCUCGGAUCUGUAGGGUUAGUGGUGUGAGAACUACAACGAAGUUCCCAAUGGGUUCGGCAACUGACCUCGCCGACUUACUCACUAGGUCUAUUCAGGUAUAAGUAUUUCAAAGGAAAGAAAAAUUAGCCAAUACUAAUGCUAAUACUAUACCUGCAAGAAAGUUGUCAGUAGAUAUAUAUAAUCAAAUAUGAAUGACUAUGCAUGCAUGCUCUUUUCAUAAGUAUACUUUGGCUUUUAUCCAAUCUUACCGGUUAACCUUGUUAACCCUAAUAGCUUACAACCCAAAAUUUCUUUCAUUCGGGGAGGUUCUAAGCACUACAAGACCCGAGGAACUGUCUUCGGGGACCACGCCCCCUGUGGUGACAAUUUCGGAACGCACCGCUUGAGGGGGAGCUACCAAGCUCAAGCCAGAACUUAUCGUGAGUAUCGAUCCAAUUCCCACUUAGAAAAAAUAUAGCCACUAGCCACAAUGCCACUAUCAUAAUAGGUUUCUACCUAUUUGUUCAUGUCACUUUUUAAGUCAUUUUUGCCAUAAGGCCACUAGUAGUUAAAGCUUGUUUAACGAUUCAUGUCUCGAUGCCAAUCAUGUCUCUAAUGUCAAUGUCAUCUUUAUUUACUAUUGUCUUGGUUCAAGUCUCACAUUCAUACAAUUUUUAGGGUUCUACCAUACAUGUCCAUUAUGAUUCAAUCAUUCUCUAUGUCCAACUAUAUUAGAAGCAUAUAAAUGAUGUCUAACCAAGUUUCACAUGUAAAAUUACCCUAUCAUGCAUGAAUGAUUCUAUAUACAAGUAUGCUCAAUAAAGGUGAAAAUAGACAUAAAGGAGAAUCCGAUGAAUCCGGCGUGCACCCCCCACCUUGAAUAGUGUAGAAGGGUUGUAAUUCGACUCUCGCGAUUUUAGGACGCCUAUCCCGUGACCUAAACCCAAAAAUAAAGCCAAAUUAGGCCCUACAUACAAGAUCUCUUACUUAGACUUUUCGUAACGUCAAACGGAGUUGUCCCACGCGUCAGGAAUACCCCUAAUUAGGUUUCCAAGAGGUCAAUUUACCUCGAAAACAAACGGAGGCAAAACCCCAAAAUUCAUGCCCUAAUAAUGUCAUAUAGAGAUUUCGCCUAGAUUGAUCUCAUUCUUAAGCAAAAGCUAGCUUAGAAUCAACUAGAAAGCAUUCUAAUACCAUUUCCAAGCCUUUCCAAACAUCCCUAGGGCAUCUACUAUGAACCCUAGUUAACCACCAUGAGAGGAUCUUGAAUUUCCAUGGUUUUCAUAGUACUCAAGCCUCAAAAGAGUUUCUAAAGCUAGAAACAAACUCAAAACUCUAAAACUUAGGGUUAAAUCCAAACCCUAGAUGGGCUUUACUCUAAAACUUACUUUAGCCCAAGCUCUCCCAAGUCCUUCUAGUUGGAGAGCUUCAAGAUCCUCCAAAGCCACCAAAAUUCACUCCAAAGCUUCUUCUCCACCAACUCCUUGCCCUAGAGUAAGAUCUCUAGAAAGAGAAAGAGAGGAAUGAGAGAGGGAGAGGGUUAGGGCUGUUGGCUGUGAAGGGGAGAAGUGUUGGGGUAUUAACAUGUUGUGACAUUUGCAACUAAGCCCCUCCCAAAUAUCCCUAUUUGCAACAGACCUUAUUGUUGCUGCCAGACCAAAGUGUACCGGUACACGGGAUUUUGUACCGGUACAACUCUGCGCAGAGGCCAAACCCGAGAGCAACUCUCUCGGUUACGCGGGAUUUGUACCGGUACAUUUUCAAAGUGUACCGGUACACUUCCAAUUUUUCUCAAACCCGAGAGCUUCUCCCUCUCGGCCUACAAUGCUGUACCGAUUAUAACUCGAUGGUUGUACCGGUACACUUGCUCAAGAAUGCUGGUUUUGCGCCGUUUUUUAUUCUAUUUCGCACCGAUCGAUACUAAAACCUUUUUAACACCUUUUAAACGCAUUUUUAGCCCUUCCAAUAUUGUUGGAAUGCUAAUGGGACUUGUCCAUCCAUUUCUCUCGACAACUUUAACCAAUUUGGAUAAAGUUCGAUAAUUUCUUUCGGAUUUCGAUAUGUUACAAGCCACGUGUCAACGCAAACGAUAUUCUCAAGGUAAAUUUUCGGACCCACAUCUGGGCGCCCGAAAUAUAGGAUCCAAAUGGGCUUCCAGUUCUGUUUAGACCAGCACUCAAGUUCUGGGCGACCCAAAUCCAGUUCUGGGUGCCCGAAUCUAGCAAAACUCCAAUUUUGCUUAUUUGAGUGUGCCGAGUCCAUUUCUACAUCCAUUACGUGUAGAAACGACUCCGACUCAGUCCGACACUCUCCAGAUGUGUCGACCAGUCACUAAUACUGUAGCGAAUCCUAUCCAAACCUCCGGAACACUACAAUUGAUAUUACUGAAUGAUUGUAAUACGAAGUACCAAGCAUUUCUAGCUAGCAAAAUAGAGAACAAAUUGUGAUUGAUGUAGAAUCAUUGGCACUAAUCAUUAGCUUCAAAAGUUCGUGCCGUUAGAAAUAUAUAAUUAAUUUACUUAAAGCAAAUGGACACACCACCCACGUGCGGGUCUCGAUUGUGAUUCGGCCUAAUCAACCUAACUCUCGUCAUUUCGAACAUGAUUCAGUUCAACCCGACCUUCUGCCAUUUCAAACGCAACUCGGCCCAACCUGGUCUCUCGCCACACGGCAGGAUACUGACUCCUUUAAGUCAAUAAUUGACAUAUGUGAAGUGCAUUAAAUUGACAAUCCAUCUACUAGGUUUACUUUAAUUUAUGAAAAUGGUAAGCUUAUGAAUAUUCUAGAAUAACGUCGGUUGUAUAUUUACAACACUUCAAAACUGCAUGGUAUUUCUGUGUGAGUUAGUACAUCAGCUCCAUAAAUAAUAUUUUAUAUUAGUAUUUUUAAUUUAUAUUCACUGUCAGGAGUAAAUAAAAGUAGAAUCUAAAUGAAAAGAAUACUAUGAAAAAAUUGUUUACACAGAUUACAGAUUGGGGAGCUUAACAAGAUGUAUAUUGGAGUCAAUCGCUUUAUCCUACAUUCAGCAAAGAAAUGAGCACAGUAUUAUCUUUUUGGGUAAAAUUGCAAGUUGAUCCUCAAAUUAUGAGUUGCAUAACAUUUUAGUCCUCAAACUUUAAUUUGUUUUAAUUUUUGACUCAAACUUUUGGAAUCAUUACAAUCAAGUCUCAUGAUCUAAUCUAAUUGGUUAAAUAUUGUCGUAUUGUUGAUGUAAAAGUAAUGUAACUUCUUAAUGUAUUAUUAGCGCAUCAUCAAUUCCAAUACUGCUAGCGUUAACGAUACGUUAAUUUUUGUCAACUAAAUUGAUUUACAUGACUUGAUUGUAAUAAUCAUGAAUAUUCGAGUUAGAAAACAUAACGAAUUAAAGUUUGAGAACUAACGUGUCACUCACCUCAUAGUUAAUUUAAGGACCAAAUAUGCAAUUUGCCUUUUUUUUAAAAUAAAUAUAUUGGGCAACAUGAUGGUUUUUGGUACUUUCAAUACACUUAAUGUCUCUUAAAUUUCUAUAAAUAUACUAAAUUAGUCCAUUUUCUGAUCGAGCAUUGAUUUUACUGAUAAAAAAAUAGUAUAUGUGAAUGCCGAGUAAACAAUUUUCAAACCAAAGUGUGUACCAAAUUAAGACACGAGUAUAGUAAAAAAUUUUAGAGUAAAAUUUAUUUCAACUGUCACGCCCCGGAUUACACGUUUCCCGGGCACGCCGACAAAUCCGCCGUAUAUAAAAAAAAUUUUCUUGUAUACGAAGCGAUAGCUGUACCUGUAAAUCAUACAAUACUACAAACAGUAGUAUAGAACUGCUAGAAGAAUGAGUAAUAAAACAAACCAAGUUCCAUAUACAUAUGCCAAAUCCAAGAUGCAAAACUACUCGCACUGGCGAGUUAAACGUCUAUAUGUACAUGAACUCCAACAAAAAACAACUACCUGCUGUAGGGUCACCUCUAGCUCGGCUCGUCGGAUAAGGCUCUAACUCGCGACACCCUUGUCUCGAUCCUGAUCAGCAACUGCAGCAGCCGAAGACGAUGGCUCUGCAAAAACGGGGUAACAACAGGGAACUACUGUAAAAAUAAAUAGUCAUCAGUGGGUGCCGCCUUCAACAUCAUCGGUCCACCUACUAAGUCUACAGAAAGGAACAAAGAUAGUAAUAAAUGCUGGAAUGAAAUCUACAGCUACCAUUUAUUACACUAAUAUGCUCUAAUCUGACCUACUGUAGUAAUGUCGAUCCUGACCCAAUCUCUUUAGGGACUGUAAACAUACCGAUCCGAGAGACUGUGAACACACCCGUCCCGCCCAGUUGAGACUAUCUAGCUACCUUCACACUAACCAGUUCGUGGAGAGCAAGUCUAACCGGCAUAAACGAUACCAAUGCGAAAGCACAUAACGCCCGUCUCUGGAGUGGCACUCGUGGGAGCUACCCAACCGAGUAUGCAGCGUAUCUCUGUCGAGCUCAAUCAGGCUCUCUCAAGUCAAAGUCCAAGUAACUGACACUAACUGAUUUAACAACCAACAGGUCACGUGCUCUCGGCACAAUCCGCCGCCAAAAAGGCGAUAUGGGUCCACCGUCAACCCGACGGCACCCAACAGUCCGAAACAGUCUGAACGCUACUAUAAAAAUUCAUCCGGCAUUCCAGCACGAGCGUAACUGAAAGCUAAAUUAUCUGGGGUAUCCGUCGCCUCGAUACUGCGACGAUACAAAAUUACAACGGCUCAUAGAGCUAAAUCAGGUAGUGUAAACAGGUGACAGAUCCAAAUCGCUGGUUUUCUCCUAAGUCAAUUUUCAAGUCCAACAUGUAUAUUUAUGGUUUACUAAUCAUGUCCUCAAUGCUGAUUUCAUCCAUGAUACAAUCAACGCAAUUGAGCUACAACAUGAUUUACAAAAACUGAAAAUCAUACAUAUGGACUAAUACUGUGCUUAGGAAUAAACCGAUAUAACCCACCUCGAGAGCUAAUCCCUGGCAGCAAAGAAUGCCAUCAGCUGCGGAACAACCUGCCGGAUCAACCGAAGUCCUCCAAGUCCAGAAAUCGAGCUAACUCCAAGCUCUACAAUCAAAAUCCAUCAAUUCUGACCACGUAUAACAACAGCAGGGUAAAAUAAGGGUUCGACCAAGCUAACCUUCACCAAAUCCUUCAAUCUUGGGCUUCGUGGAUUCCUCUCGAAGUCCUGAAUCCAACGAACCAAGUUUCGUCGCAAUCCGACACUCCUACGUAGCGUACGAGCCGAAACGCCAACGGUCGGUGCAGGAAAUUUGCAAAACAGCAUCCUUGAGCUCGGAAGUAAUAAGGACUUGCCAUGGUUGGAGGAAUUGAUGAACAUCUCACUUAAACAGCGACUCUAGCACCGGCGCGACGUCGAGAACAGCGAACACGCACCCUCGCCCGGCCUCCUCGUGAUGCUACGGUAACAAACGCGCGCUCGAACGGCUCCGCGGCUCGACGUCGACGACGAAGUACUCUACCCGAGCUCCUCCUACACGAUCGGUUUAGCUAGAGAGAGAGAGGAGAAGAAGAAGCAGGAAGAAUACUCCCUCUCAAGCUCUCUAUACCUGUAAAUAGUAAAGGGGUGGAGUGGUGACACGAACGAGGUGAGAAAAGACCCAAUUGCCCUCUCACCUACCCUGGCGUACCGGUACACGAGCUCGCGUACCGGUACAAGAAGCCAACCCGAGAGCAGUCUGCGCACAGCCUGUGCAGUGUACCGGUACACCCUGCUUGCUGUAUCGGUACAGCAAGCAGAGAAACCUGCUAUUUGCAUAUUCCCUUACUAAAUGCUGCUCUCGCGUCGCAUAAAAUCCGUUUUGCGUCUAUUUCACGCUAACGUGACUCAGAAUUGUCCCGACACUCUCCAGAGCUGUCGGCAAGCCUUAACAGCAGAACACCAGGGAUCUCACAUCAACAACAAUAUUCUUUUCUUAAGAUGGAAAGAAACUCUCUAAUGCAAAGUUUUUUAGUAUUAAAUAUAGUAAGAAAGUUGUUUAUUUAAUAUCUUUAGGUCAUAUCCCACUAUUAACGAACUUAAUUAACAUCAAAUAAUUGAUGGGCCAAUUUAAUUUAAUAUAUAUUAUUAGACGUACGGUGAAGGAGCAUUAUAAUUAAGUUUACUUUCAAAUAAUUGAAGCCAAAUAGUGCAGUCACUAACCAGCAAAAAGUGAAUAGUAAUCCCAAAUUCCAAGCUUUUUUCUAGAGUCAGAGCUUUGGUAAUUCAAGGGCCGGAAAAUGUUUACACCAUGUUUGCGAUGUGUCUAGAGCUCCAUUGAGGGGCCGUUUGAUUCGACGUAGUUAUAAAUACAGUAUAUUUAAAAAUAUAUGUAGUUGGAAAUAUCGUAAUUAUAAUUAUAUGUAUUUUGUUUGGUUGGAUGUAGCAGAAAGUGCUACAGUUAUAAAUAUUUAUGUUGAAAAUUUUAUCAUUUUAUGUGUAGGAUGAUAAGAUUGGCUCUUAUGUAGGAAAACAACUUUUUUUCUAAAAAAAAGGUUAUUAGAAAAAUAAAUUUAUUUUGGUUUAAAAUUACUCUCUUCAAAUAUUGUGCGCGGCAGCGGCACAGUAUCAACUGUUGCAGCAGUUGAGAUUUCUCGUGCAGGUGCAAUUGCAACAGGAGAAAUCAAAUGCAUCAAAAUAUUUACGAAAUUUGGAUACAUAUGUCCAAUUGCAGGCCUAGUUAUAACUUCAUGCAAUGAAACCGUUUCUUUAACGAGGAGAAAAAUUUUAAUCUUGAAGGUGAUGGGGACAAGAUAGCCAGAAAUCAAAAUCUUGUAAAUAUGCACGUACGAGAUUGAUUUAGCCCCUCGCCUUGAAAAUAUCCUGAGUGUAAGAACUAGUGCAGUCCUAUGCGUGCGUGCAGAUGAAGUUGAUCAUCCGCGUACCAAAGCCAAGAAGACGAAUAAGAGGAAAAGAAGAAGCAAAUGGAUCGAGAUGGCUACGUAUAUGCAUGCUUCUUAAUUAAAGAAGACGUGGACACACCUCUCUCUCUCUCUUCUCUCUCUCUCUAUAUAUAAUAUAUUGAGUCUAGAGUUUUUUUGUACUCAUAAAUUUUCGACCGUUAAAUCUACUCUUUCGAUUAUUUUUAUCUGUUAAAUCAUACUAUUCAACUAACUACUCUCACUCAAUACAAGGAGACCACUAUCGUCAUAACCGGGGACUACUAUUAUUCCAACCGUAUAUUUUUUUCAUUCAACGACCGAAAACUUAUCAGUACAAAUAAAUUUAUACUCAUAAAAGUAUAGUAUCUCUAUCAUAUAUAUGAGUCCAGCUACUCUUAUAAGUACGUAUAGAUUUUUUUGUACUCAUAAGUUUUCUACCGUUACAUCUAUUCUUUUUAACUAUUUUUAUCUGUUAUAUCAUACUAUUCAACCAGCCACCCACUCAACCUUAGGAACUACUAUCAUCAACAAAAUUCCCUAAAUUCCCUUUCGUUAUUGUCUGACUCACAACAAUUUGUCAAUUUAUUUCCAUGUUUACUGCAUCAUCUCUUUUUAUUUUUUUUACUCUGAUUCUCUCUCUCCCCAUGGUCUAUUAGUUCGAUGUAUAAUUUGAGAGGUGGGUCACAUCAAAAGUCAUGAGAGUGACAUAAGUAUUGCAUACAGCAAAUAUCAUAUAUUGCAUACACUCAGUCUACAAAAAUAUCAUAUACAGCAAAUCUUUUUUAAUGAUUAAUAAUUUAAAAUCUAUAAGAUAUAUAAUUUGAGAGUUGACAAUUCUAUCACAUCACAAAAAUCAUUAAUACUAAUUAUCAGAUAUUUCAUUAAUUAUCUAAUAUACUUUUGCGGUGUAUAAAAUAUUAGUAUACACCAAAUUGAAGCAAAGAUUUCUCUUUUCUUUUGAAAUUAUUAGCGCACUCUCUUAAACAUUCUCUACACUUUGUGUAUAUAAAAACAUACACAACAUAUUUUAAAUCUUUAAUAGAGAUUUUGAAAUUUAAUUUAGUGAAUAUAUUUAAUUUAUUAAACUUUGUAAUUAAGAUAUAUUUAAUUAAAUUUUGAUAUUAAAUAUUAAUUCUUUAAUAUAAGUUAUGGUGUAUAGUGUGUUAAUAUACAUUAGACAUAUAUAAUAAUUUUUUUCACCGAGUGUUAAUACAAGUAUAUAUAUAAUAAGGCAAACUUCAAUUACCUUCUAGUUAUAACUUUGAUACUGAUUUAAUGAAAAAAAGAAAUAGUGGAAGGGAUAAUAAAAAUAGAAAAAAUGAAACCAUGGGGUACUAAAUCAAUAUAUUUUAAAUUACAAGAUACCAAAGUGAGAAAGUGUAAAACCAUAGGAGUAGCAUUUGAAUUUUUUCUAUAUAAUAACAUACACCAAGUAUAUAUAUACACCAGAUAUAUAUAAUAAUUUAGAAUAAGUUCUACGAUUUGAAUUUUUUAAUUAAAAACUUUAUUUAUAGAAUAACCACAAAAACUACUAUGUUUGAUCAAAAUUUUAAGUGAAAUUUUUAGAACACUUUAACUAAAUAAAUACUGAAAGUUAAAAAAUAUUAAUAAAAAAAUAAUUUUUAUAAUGUAUAAAAGACUACAUAAUUUUUUUAUUUUUUAUUAUAAUUUUUUAAUUUUUAAAAUUUUAAUAAUUAUAUAUAUUAAUUGACUAGAACACUAUCGAUCUACUGUGAAACGCUAUACCUUUACUAGUUUUUAACUACGUUGUGUUACAUUAUCCGUUGGUAGGCCCGCCUGUCUAGCAUAUGAAGGGUUUGCUACUGGGGCGGCGGCUGGAUUGCCUGCUGACAUUAUCUCAAAAUAAAAAAAAAAAAAAUCUGGCCUUUCCAUGUGAUUGCAGUUCAGUUCGGGCUACACAAAAUUCUGUGGCUUAAUUAUAUACAUAGUUAGUUAAUUCGGAUUCAAUAAAAAUUCGGUAUGGAUAUAAUUCGGAUAAAAUUUGUUUUUUAAUUUUUAAAUUCGUUGAAAAAUACUGCUAAAAAACGGAUCCGGUAAUUAUUCGGAUACGUAAUUUAUACUGAUAUUAUACGUUCACCAAUUAAAAAUUCGGAAUAAAAAAUUCGGCUAUAUAAUAAAUAUAUAAUAAUUAAUAUACUAUAUAUAUUAUUAUUAUAAUUUUUAUAUAUAGAUUAANNNNNNNNNNNNNNNNNNNNNNNNNUCCCCCUAGAGUUGUCUACGAUGCCGCCGAGAGGGAGUAUAGGUCUUUGUGAUUGAUUGUAAGUUCUGCGAACGCACCAAUCUCGAAGGCACCUUAUCGAAUGGCACCGGCAGCUGAGAGAGCUAAAGGCGCAGCUCAGGAUUGAUGAUAAGGGGUUAUGAGACCCAGUGUUGACUUGGGGAGACGCCGGGUUAUUGUAGAAGAAGAUGGUUCGCCUUAGUUAUGUGUGGAUUUACCGGGAGCUGAAUAAAGUCGACCAUCAAUAAACAAUAUGCCAUUGCCCGCAUUUGAUAUUUUUUGAUCAGGCUGCAGGGAUUCUUAUGUCCUUCUCGAAAUUGAUCUCCAGUCGCGGUUACCACCAGUUGAAGGUGAUGGGCGCGAGGAUGUUCCCAAGACGGCUUUUCGGAACAUGGUGGGCGGUACAGGAGCAUUAUGAGUUCACAGUAUCGCCUUUUGGUAUUGACGAAAGCCGACUGCCGCAUUCAAUGAUUGAUGAAACAGCGUGUUCAAGCCGUUCUUCGGAUAGAUUUGUGGUAGUCUCAUCGACGACAUCUUGAUAUACUCCCGGAAAGUAAUGCUGAGCAUGAGGAGGCACUUGAGGAUUGGUGCUAAGCUUCUGCGAGAGAAGAAGCUGUAUGCCCAAGUUAAAGAAGUGCGAGUUCUGGUUACGAGGUUCUUUCUCUUGGGCCACGUGAUUUCAGGUGAGGCUGUAGCAGGGACCGAAGAAGGAUUGAAGGCGAUUCGAGAUGCCUAGACCGACGGACAGUGACUGAGGUACGGAGUUUCCUUGGACGGCCAGGAUAUUACGUCAGGUUUGUGGAAGGCUUUGCGAAGCUUUUCCAUACCCCUCACUUGCUUGCGCGGAAGGAACUUACAUUUGUUUUUUGAGUACGACUAGUCAGAAGGGGAAGUGGAGUUUUGAACGGAGUUGAGACUGAGGUUAACGCAGCUCCGUAUCUUGCCGCUUCCUGUGAGGGCGAAGGAUUCGUGAUCUAUAGUGAUGCAUCGCACAGUGGACUUGGUGUGUCUGAUCAAGCUGUAGGGUAAUUGCUUCAUGCUUCACGGCGCAUUAAAGGAUUAUGAGAAGAAUACCUACGCAUGACUUAGGAGCUUGCCGCGGUGCGUUUUUGCUUUGAAGUUAUGCCGCAUACUUGUACGGCGAGCACUCGAGGUUUUCACUGGAUCAUAAAAGUCUCAAGUAUUUGUUCCAUCAGAGGGAGCUGAACCUUGAGCAGCUGCCGGUGGUUGGAGUUGCUGUAAGGAUUUAUGACAUUAGUAUUCAGUAUCACCCCGGCAGGCCGAAAUAGUGCAGAUACGGUUGAGCAGGAAGUCAGUGCAGAGCCUGAGUUUGAUUAUCACUGAACCGAGCAGAGACCCUUACUCGAGGACUGCAGCGGCUGGACUUGAGGUAGUACGCCCUGGUUCUACGCGAGGCUGACGUCUCUAGUUGCCACCCCACUCUGUUGAUAUAUCACGGAGAAACAGAGUGAAGAUCCGUCUUGUUGAGGAAUUAGAAGAGGCAGGCUAGACAGGGGCAGGCUGUAGAGGGUUUUUGUUUGGACACGUUUGGGAGACUACGGUACGGGGACCGACUGUGUGUGCCAGUGGAUUCAGAUAUUCGAGCAGAUAUUUUGAGAGAGGGCGCAUUGUUCUCAUAUACGGUUCACCCUGGUGGAACCAGAUGAUAGAUUUAAAGGCACAGUUCUGGUGGCAUGGAUUGAAAAGAGAGACAUUGCGUAGAUUCGUGGCUCAGUGUUUUGACUUGGCCAACAGGUGAAGGCGCGAGCACAGGGUAACCUUACUGGCAAGCUUCAGAGUCUGCCAGUGCCCGAGUGGAAGUGGGGAGAAAUCACGAUGGAUUUUUUGUGAGGAUUUGCCUAGAGACAGGGUGUUAUGAUGCGUUUGGUAAUCAGUGGACAGACUGACCAAGUCUGCCCAGUUCCUACCAGUUCAGACACCUGCGUCCAGCUGAGAGAGACCGCACGAGCUUUAUCUGGAUGAAUUGUCAGGCGUACAUGGUGUGCCAGCUACGAUUGUAUCAACGAGACCCAGAGGUCGUGUCCUCAUUUCUGAGGAGUUUACAGACAGCUUUGGGGACUCAGUUACAUUCAGCACAGCAUUUCACCUCACAAACGAUGCGUCGUCAGAGCGGACGCAUUCAGACUCCUAGAGGACAUGUGAGAGCAAUGUGUCCUGGACCUUUGGAGGAUGGUGGUAUCGACACUUGAGGUAGCAGAGUUUGCGUACAACCACAGCUAUCAAACGAAGCAAUUCAGAGUGGCUCCGUUUGAAAGCGUUUAUUGGACGCAAGUGUCGAUCUCCCGUUGUUUUGAGUGAUGUGGGUGAGAGGAGAAUUGGCCUGAGUUGUUUGCUAGAGGCUGAGGAAAAGGUGAGAAUUUACGACACCUUCUGACAGCCGAGACGCGACAGGAGCUAUGCCGACAGGAGACGAAACUUAGAGUUCCAGAUUGGAGAUCAUGUUUUCUUCAAACGUCUCGCCGUCCAGAGGGAAUUCGCGAUUUGGAGUGCGUGGAAAGCUCAGUCCACGUUUCGUUGGCCUUUUUGAGUUAUUGAGCGAACGUUGACCAGUUGCUUACCGGAUUGCUCGCCCACCCGACUAGCUAGGGAUGGAUCAUGAUGUUUCCACGUCCCGGCCGUUGAGGAGAUAAUGUUUUUCGAUCCUUUACGUGAUUGACUUCAUCCACUAGAGAUGUGGCGAGGACUUGAGGGGGGAGAUUACGAGGGGGAGCGACGAUCGCGAUUCUUGCUCGUGAUGACGAAAGAAUUGCGAACCGGGUAUCACGUAUUGUAAAGUGCAGUGGAGCAAUCACGUAGGAGCGCGGUGAACGCGAGAGCAGAACGGGGUAUGAGGAGUCCUAUCCCGAAUUGUUCGCAUACUCGGCUCUUGGGUAUGUUUUUAAGUUUCCGAGGACGAAACUUUUUUAGUGGGAGGAUGUAGUAUCCUUCUUUCAUAUAUAUAUCAUAUAAUAAUAUGUAGUACCUAGUAUAAUGUGGCAUGCGUAUGGAUGCCACGUGCACUCCCCCAUGCAUGCUUAUUCUGGUUUGAGGGUGGUAAAUUAAGUUAGUUGUUGUUCUCCUCUUUAUGUUGUAAGUACGAGAACCACACGAGGUGGAGCUUGGGGAGUGAGCGUGGAGCUCGGAUCCAACGUCGAUUCGCUGCCGCGGAGCGCUUCGAGGAUACGUUGCUAGUCGUAGCAUCGCGAGGAGUCCGGGCGAGGGUUGGUUCGCCUGUUCUCGGCUAAUGUUCCGCGUUGGAUUUAGCAUACGAGUGGGUUUAUCAUCGGAAUCCUAUACUUCUAUAUAUUGUCAUCGAUAUGUAUCGUUAAUAUUUACAAAGUGUUUAUGUUUAGCUCAAAUUCAAUGAGUAGGUUGUUUUAGAAUUAUAAACUUGAAUUGGAGCAUGUUAUAUUAGUUGUUAAUUAAUCAUCACAUGUGGGACUUGAUAAAACAUAGGAGAAAACAGCGUUCCGGAACCCUGGCAUAUGUUGAAUUACCUGAUUUAGUUUAGGGGCCGUUGUAUUUUUUAUACAGCUUGUUGGUUUUCGAUUCGGUUGUGUAGUACCCCAGUAGUUUAGUUUACUGCUUACACUCGUGCUGGAUCGUUGAGUUUAUUUUAUAGUAUGUUUGACUGUUCUGCUAGUGCGGUCCGUCUGUUGGUGACGGUGGCACCCGGAUUUGAUCAUUGUGAGAUUUGUUAGUCCGAGGAGCAUGCUGGAAUAGUGUGUUAGUGGCUUCAGUGAGAACCUUAUUGCUUCUUUAUAGCCUGUGAGGCCGAGGCCUGAGAUUGACAGUACGUCAUGGGUCGCCGCCACGAGAGCCAUUCCGGAAUGAUGUUUCAUGCGAUGGUAGUCGCAGUUUGUUUAAUAUAUGUACUGGCCACGUUGCGGGGUGGUGUACGGCAUAAGCUUGAUUACAGGCAGAGUGGUCCGUUUUGGACAGAUCAAAUAAUUUGUGGUGAUCAGUUUUCAAUGCGAUUGCAUCCGAGUGCAAUAUUAGAUACAGUACGAUAGUUAGUGGCAUAUAGCUGUAGAUUCUUUCCAAGCUUUUAUUUCCAGCCGGUUAUGUUUCCCUACUGUAGUCAUUAGUGGUUGGUAGCGCGAUGAUGUUGAGGGCGGUAGCCCACUGACGGAUACUUUUCUUUUACAGUAGUUCUCACGCCCAGUUGCUCCCUGUUGUUUGCAGAGCCUUCUGUUCCGCGCUGCAGUUUCUGAGAUCGAUCGAGGAAGGUGUCGCGAGUUAGAGCCUAUACCUGACGAUGUCGCGCUGCUAGAGGUAUCCCCAGCUUGCAGGUAGUUAGAGUUUUAUUUGUUUCGAGUAUUAUGUUACAUACUGAUACUGAACCGCUGGAGCGAUGUGGUUUGUACUUUGUUAUAAGUAUGUAUACAUUUGAGAUGCUUUCUUCUUUUUGUUUUACCUGCUUUAGUCUUUACAGCUCUAACGCUACUGUUUGUACAUUGUUUUGUUUACAGGAUAUACGUGAUUGCUCGGUAUACAAGAAAAUCUUCUUGUAUUACGGCAGAUUAAUUAGCGGCCCGGAAGAAGUGCUUCCGGUGGCGUGACAAUUAUUAUAAUAAUAUUUUACAUAAAAUAAAUACUAUAUAUAAUAAAUAUUAUAAUAUAAUUUAUAAUAAAAUUAUAUAUAUAUAUAAUAUAUAUAAUAUAAUAAGCUGGGGCUACUUAUCUAUAUGAGUAUAGACUUUGACUCAUAAACUUUGGCUGUUCAGAUGAAAAAAUGUCGGUUCGAGAUGAGAGUGGUUGAACGGUUAGUUGUAGUGAGGCCCCGCCUAUGGUUGAGUGGGUGGUUUCGUUGAUAGUAUAUCUAACGGGUGAAAAUGCUUAAAGGGUAGAUCAACGGUAAAACAUUUAUGAGCUACAAAUAAGGCUCUAUACUCAUAAGAGGUAUAGUGCCGACAAUAUUAAUAUAAUUAUAUAUAUAUAUAUGAGAGAGACGAGUUGGACUGGGCUACUAUUAAGUAGCAAGAAUUUUCAUUGUUGCUACAAGUUUUUUAGCCUUUGGAUCAACUCUUUCAUCUAUUUCUAACCAUUGGAUUAAAUACUAUAAGCAUGUGGGGACCAUGUCAAUCCCUAGGGGGACCACUCAACUCUAACCGACUAAUAUGCAUCCAGACCCUACAUAAUUUUUCAUCGUAAGGCGUUGAGAAAUCUUGAUAGCAAAAAGAGCGUUUUACUAUUAUAGUAUUUCCAGGCCUUAAUAUACUAUAUAUAUAUAUAUAUAUAUAAUUAUGAUAUAUAUAUAUAUUAUAUAAUAUAUAUAUAUAUAUAUAUUAUAUAUAUAUAUAGUGGAUGGGCUACUAAUUAAUAACAAAUCCCAUUGUUGCUACAGUUUUGUUAGGCCUUUUGGAUCAACUCAUUUCAUUCAUUCUAAACUUCUGGAUUAAAAUACUAUAACCCAGUUGGGACCAACUCAACCCUAGGGACUACUAACUCUAAUCGAUAUCAUGCAUCCUGACCCUACAAUUUUUCAUCCAAGGCGUUAAAACUUGAUAGAAAAAGACGUUUUACUAUUAAUAGUCACAGCCUAAUUCUAUAUAUAUAUUUAUAUAAUUAUAUAUAUUAUAUAUAUAUAUAAUAUAUAUAUAUAUAUAUAUAUUAUAUAUAUAUAUAUAUAUAUAUUAGAGUGAGGUCUAUUGCUAUCGAAGCCCGAGCCUUCUGUUGCUUCCAGCUCGUUUUCGAUGUUGCGACUUUCGAUAUCGUCGAUCGGCUCAUUAAACUUGAUCAUAGAGUAUUUGAAGUAUCUAGAAAAUAAAUUUUAAUGAUUUUUACGAUAUCAUUGCAAGUGAACGAAGGCGGCUCAAAAUCAACGCUGAAAAUAAAAAUCUUACAAAAUGUAAUAAUAUGACAUUAAAUUUUUAAAUCACAAGAUAUUGAUUUGUUUAUAUAUAGUAUAAAGAAUUUUCUAAUCAAAAUUUCACGUGAUUUGGAUAUUUCUACACCGUCUAAACUUACAAAACGCUCACUACGCCAUUAAAAUUUGUUGAUUUUUGACGCCCAUUCGAUCACUAGCAAAUGAUAUCGAAAAAAUAAUAAAAUUUAUUUCUAGGUACUUGCAAAUAUUUAUAGAUCAAAGUUUACGAACCGAUCGCGAUUCAAAAGUGCAAACCAUCGACAACAAGUGGCAAGCCGGAAGGCUCCGCUGUAUCGAUAGCAUAGUAGCCAUCACGUCUAUAUUAUAUAUAAUAUUAUAUAUAUAUAUAUAUAUAUAUAGAUAUAAUUGAGCUCUAUGCUUUUGAAAGUACCAGACAUUGUGCUUUGUAAGUUUUAGCCUUUAGAUUAAAAAUAUUAUGUGCGGUUAGGAUGAUGUGGACCUCCUAGGGUUGAGUGGGUGGUUGGUUGAAUAGUAUAAUCUAACGUGUAUAUAUGAUCAACAGUGCUGAUCUAACGGUUAAAAACCUACAAGAACAAAGUGAUUGGUGCUUUCACAAGCACCAUAGCCGGACUCUAUAUAUAUAUAUAUAUAUAAUGAGAGAGAGGUCCACUAUGGACCACCUUAUCAUGCGGUCCACGAGGCCUCAUGGAUCGCACGAUCAAUGCGCUCCCAGCCUCCCAACGCCGCGCUUUUUCGCGGACGGCCUCGGGCGAGACGGACGACGCCACGCGGCCCUCUUGCUCCCAAUGCCGGCCAGGGCGGCGAAGGAGGAGUACGAUGACGCCCCGCGGCCCUCUUGCUCCCGGCGCCGGCCAGGGUCGCGGAGGAGGAGUACGACGACGCCCGGUGACCCUUUUGCUCCCGGCGCUGGCCAGGGCGGCGGAGGAGGAGGACGACGACACGAACAAGUUCGGCGACGAGAGCGGCGAGUCCGCGACCCGCGGCCGCCAGUCCGCGACCGCGAGUGCUGUUUUUUUGGGCAAAUCGUUCGCGAACCGCGAAUAAUUCGCGGAUAAUUAUUUUUGACGAAAAAAACGCGAUUUUUUUCGAAUUUUUUGGAAAAAUAUGGAAACGGACGUUUAAUUCGUAUCUUCAAAAAUUCGCGAAUAAUUCGCGAAUUAUUCACGAAUUUACUAACAGAGAUUAUAUAUAUAGAGUUGGACUGGAAUAACAUUAAUAGUAAAAGACUCUUUUUGCUAUCAAGUUUUUUUGGAUAAAAAAUUGUAAAGUUAGGAUGAUAUUAGUCCCUUAGGGUUGAGUGGUCCCCACUGGGUUAUAAUAUUUAAUUCAAUGGUUAAAAAUUAUGAAAGGAAUUGAUCUAAAGGCUAAAAAUUUGAUAGCAAAAAGGAGCUUUUGCUAUUAAUAGUAUUCUAGCCCCUCUCUCUCUCUCUCUCUCUCUCUCUCUCUCUCUCUCUCUCUCUNNNNNNNNNNNNNNNNNNNNNNNNNNNNNNNNNNNNNNNNNNNNNNNNNNNNNNNNNNNNNNNNNNNNNNNNNNNNNNNNNNNNNNNNNNNNNNNNNNNNNNNNNNNNNNNNNNNNNNNNNNNNNNNNNNNNNNNNNNNNNNNNNNNNNNNNNNNNNNNNNNNNNNNNNNNNNNNNNNNNNNNNNNNNNNNNNNNNNNNNNNNNNNNNNNNNNNNNNNNNNNNNNNNNNNNNNNNNNNNNNNNNNNNNNNNNNNNNNNNNNNNNNNNNNNNNNNNNNNNNNNNNNNNNNNNNNNNNNNNNNNNNNNNNNNNNNNNNNNNNNNNNNNNNNNNNNNNNNNNNNNNNNNNNNNNNNNNNNNNNNNNNNNNNNNNNNNNNNNNNNNNNNNNNNNNNNNNNNNNNNNNNNNNNNNNNNNNNNNNNNNNNNNNNNNNNNNNNNNNNNNNNNNNNNNNNNNNNNNNNNNNNNNNNNNNNNNNNNNNNNNNNNNNNNNNNNNNNNNNNNNNNNNNNNNNNNNNNNNNNNNNNNNNNNNNNNNNNNNNNNNNNNNNNNNNNNNNNNNNNNNNNNNNNNNNNNNNNNNNNNNNNNNNNNNNNNNNNNNNNNNNNNNNNNNNNNNNNNNNNNNNNNNNNNNNNNNNNNNNNNNNNNNNNNNNNNNNNNNNNNNNNNNNNNNNNNNNNNNNNNNNNNNNNNNNNNNNNNNNNNNNNNNNNNNNNNNNNNNNNNNNNNNNNNNNNNNNNNNNNNNNNNNNNNNNNNNNNNNNNNNNNNNNNNNNNNNNNNNNNNNNNNNNNNNNNNNNNNNNNNNNNNNNNNNNNNNNNNNNNNNNNNNNNNNNNNNNNNNNNNNNNNNNNNNNNNNNNNNNNNNNNNNNNNNNNNNNNNNNNNNNNNNNNNNNNNNNNNNNNNNNNNNNNNNNNNNNNNNNNNNNNNNNNNNNNNNNNNNNNNNNNNNNNNNNNNNNNNNNNNNNNNNNNNNNNNNNNNCAACCAUUAAAAUUACUAAUUUUGAAACCUUUUGAUCAUUAGGUAAAUGAUGUCGAAAAGAUUUAAAAUUUGAUUUCUAGAUACUUCAAGUGAUAUAGAUCAUGUUCAACGGUGCCGAUCGUCGAUUUGAAAGCUCCAUUAUCGAAAACAAAUGGGUAGCAACGAAGCCCGUUUGCUACCGAUAGCAUUCCAGCUCAACUAUAUAUAUGUGUGUGUGUGUGUGUGUGUGUGUUCGGCUGUGAUACUAUCAAUAGUACCAAGCGUUUUGUGCUAUCAAGUUUUUUCCGCCGUUAGAUUUAACACUUUGACUAUUUUCACUCGUUAGAUUAUAUUAUUAAACCAAUAACUCACUCAACCCUAGGGGGCCCACAUCAUCCUAACCGCACAUCUCUUAAUCCAAUGGCUAAAAACUUGGUAGCACCAAUAUCUUGGUGCUAUUAAUAGGCUGAUAUACUAUCGGUAGCACGGAGGCCUCCAUGCAACUAUGUUGUUUUCAAUGAUGCGGCUUCCAUAUUGACGAUUAACUACGUUAGACUUGCUCUACAUUAUUAAAAGUAUUUGGAAACUAAAUUUCAUAAUUUUUCGAUAUCAUUUAGCUAGUGAUCAAAGGUGUUAAAAUUGACAAUUUUAAUAGUCGAUGUGAUGCGUUUGUGAAUUUAACGGUGUAAAAUAAUUCAAAUCUGAUAAAAUUUUUAUAGAAGAUUUCUUUUACUAUUUAGAGUAAGAUCCAUAACUCUGAUUUUAAAUUCAAGUCUUUUAUCAUCAUUUUUUAUAAGAUUUUUAUUUUCAGCCGUUUAUUUUUAGACUACUUGUUUAAUAGGUAAAUGAUGUCGAAAAAUUAUAAAAUUUAGUUUCCUAAUACUUCAAUAGUGUAGAUCAAGUCUAACGGAGCCGAUCGUCGAUUUGGAAGCUACAUCAUUGAAAACAACUUGGUAGCACGGAGGCCUCCGUGGCUAUUUUGGUUGAAAACUACAAUUCAUAAGUUUAUAUUAUUUAGCUAUGUGAUGAAAAGGUCUCAAAUAACAAUUUAAUGACCGCUGUGUUACGUUUUUUGAAUUUAAACAGUAUAAAACAUAAUCCAAAUCUAAUGAAUGUUUAUGAAAUUGUUUUUUUAGCUAUUUAGAGUAAGAUCAGUACUGUUGAAUUUUAAAUUCAAGUCUGUAUAUCAUAUUUUUGAUGAAUCUUAUACUUUAGUCCGUUCAUUUUGACUGCUCAUCUGCAUAGGUAAGAUAAUAUCAAAAAUUAUAAAAUUUAGUUUUCCAAAUAGCUUUCAAAUUGUUAGAUCAAAGUCUAACGCGUAGCUGAUACGUGCGAUUAGAAGCGCGAGCUUUCGUUUGCCACCGAUAGUGAAUAUCAGCCCGCCUGACUCUCUGCUCAUCUCAUGAUCCGUUCUCUAUUUCUCUUCUCGCUCCCCCUGAUAUCUUCCGCCCCCUCCCAUCUCUCCCCCUCCACAUCUCUCCUCCGCCCUCCCCGGUGCUCUGUCUCUCCUGCUCUGUCCUCUGUCUCUAUAACUAUAUAUUAUAUAUAUAUUAUCUAUAUAUAUAAUAUAUAUAUAGUAUCGUAUAAUUAUAUAUAUAUACUACUUAUAAAAGCGUGAGUUUUAAAUUUUUUUUCCUUUCCAAAAAUAUCUCUAUCUUUUUUACUAAUAUUUUCAUGUCGAGUAAUUUUCAACCAUUUAUUUGAAAUAAAUCUUCAAAUAAUAAUUUAUUCUCAAAUAUAGAUUUAAAUUUCUACCAUUGGAUAUCAUAAUAAAAGUAUCUGUCUCUUUUGUUGACGAAAAUACCCUACAUAUUCGUUAUCUCUUAUCUACGCGUUUCUCAAAUAUUUUCUUCCCCUACACAUCCGUUAUCUCCUAUUUACGCAUUUAUCAAAUAUUUUUUUCCUACCCACCAAUCAUGUAAUAGGUCAAAUUAAAUUUAUCUCAAAUCUAACGUAAUAUCUGCUAAUCAUAUAAUACAUAAAAUUAAAUUUAUCUCCUAUCUAACAUAAUACCCGCCAAUCAAAUCAUGUAAUAUGUAAAAUUAAAUUUAUCUCAUAUCCACCAUUUUUCUCAAAUAUUUUCUUUCUCAAACGUAAUACACGCCAAUCAUGCAGUACUCAAAAUUAAAUUUUAAAUUUCUAAUGGCCACCAAUUUGAUAAUUUACAUUUUAAUUCAUAAUAGUAAAUUUUCUUAUAUGAGAUAGUAGAUUUAAUUUUGAUGAGUAUUAAAAUUUGUCGCGCCAUAGAAACGUUAAAUAUUGCUAAAAAAAUUUUAAUACCCGCCCAAUCAAAACUAAAUCGUUAAUUAAAUAUAAUUUUUAAUAUCUAUACUACUUAUAAAAGCAUGAGUUUUAAAUUUUUUUCUCUUACCAAAAAUAUCUCUAUCUUUUUUACUAAUAUUUUAAUGUCCAGUAAUUUUUAACCAUUCAUUUUAAAUAAAUCUUCAAAUAAUAAUUUAUUCUCAAAUAUAGAUUUAAAUUUUUACUAUUGGAUCUCAUCCAACGAAAUAAAUCUUCAAAUAAUAAUUUAUUUUCAAAUAUAAAUUUAUAUUUUUACUAUUGGAUCUCAUCCAACGAAUAAAAAUAAAAGUAUCUGUCACUUUUGUUGACAAAAAUAUCCUACAUAUUCGUUAUCUCUUAUCUACGCGUUUCUCAAAUAUUUUCUUCCUAUCCGCCAAUCAUGUAAUACGUAAAAUUAAAUUUAUCUUAAAUCUAACGUAAUAUCUGCCAAUCAUAUCUCCUAUCUAGCAUAAUACCCGCCAAUCAUGUAAUAUGUAAAAUUAAAUUUAUCUUAUAGCCACGCGUUUUCUCAAAUAUUUUCUUUCUCAAAUGUAAUACUCGACAAUCACGUAGUACUCAAAAUUAAAUUUUAAAUUUGUAAUGCCUGCCAAUUUGAUAAUUUACAUUUUAAUUCAUAAUAAUAGAUUUUCUUAUGCGAGAUAGUAGAUUUAAUUUUAAUGAGUAUUAAAAUUUGCCGCACCAUAGAAGCGUUACAUAUUGCUAAAAAAUUUUAAUACUCGCCCAAUCAAAAUUAAAUCGUUAAUUAAAUAUAAUUUUUAAUAUUUUUAGUAAAAUAUUCAAGUAAUAUCCGCUAAAAUAUUCUAUGCGUUUCUCAAAUAUAGAGUAUAUCUUAAUACCCUCACAUAUAAUAUCUACAGUAUCUAAUCUUAUCUCAUCAUAAUACUUAUAAUGUCACGCCCCGAGACCGCUACCAAUUUGGUCCGGUUCGGGCGCGUCGAAUAGACGCCGAACGGACAGCACCUCCCCUAUCCGCCCAAGGCUCAACAACAGAUCGAGUACAAGAAUUUACCCAGGAAUUUAAAUUCUAUAAGUACACAAUCAAC
rnacentral:lncRNA from 1 species